GCCACAACAGGAAAUAAAGACACAUUUAGAAUGUUGCAAUUCAUGUUUUUGUCAUAGUUAUGUAGCUACCAACAUGCAGUUUAAAAAAGCAAAGAAGAAUGCUAUAAAAAUGAGGAGAUAAAGCUGCUCAAUUCAUCAGAGAGUCAAGUAAUAGAUUCUACUUUAUAUGCCCCAUCAUUGCAGAGCCACAAUAUUUUCAUAUUAAUGCAUUACCAGAAAAAUAAAUUUGCAAACCGUCUUUCUCUAAUAUCACCAAAGGUUUUCCGGCUAACACUUUUGUUGGCCUUCAAAUUCUUUGAAAAAACUAUAGAGGAUCAGGUAUGCCCCAUUAUACAGUGUCAGUGCGUGCAUAACUGAGGCAAUAUAUGUGCACAUAUGUAUCUAUCGGUAUAUAGGAUUUGAAUUUGGGUGUUCAAAAAAACCAUUAGAGCUUAAAACCUUUACAUUGCUUUUAUAGGAUUUUGGUUUAGAUUCUGCUUUAUGUCUCCAUCAUUCAACAGUCACGAUAUCGUGUUAUUAAUGCAUCACCAGAUAAUUAAAUCUGCACAUCAUCUUUCUCUAGUCUCAGCCACAAGUUUUCUCACCAAAAUACUCGUCUGCCUACAAAUUCUUUAGAAAACAAGAGGAUUGGGCAUGCCUAUCAUCCACCACCUUGUGUGUGUGGGCUGACCUAAGGCUUACAUAGCAGAAACAAGUAUAAACCUGUACAAGUAUACAUAGCAGAAACAAGUAUGCAUCUAAACAUAAGUGACAGCAGAACUCACCCAAUCAUAGUUCUUAGAAAGAAAUUCAGAUACUGUAGAUUUAUGUCUUGUCAAUAGUUCCUGCAACAAAACAAUAUAAAAGUCUCAGAUUCACAUUUCAACUAAUAGCAAAUACAAGGCCGAAACAUAAAAACUUCAUAAACAUGCAAUAAAGACAAAUAAAAUUUCCUGGAUAAUAAUCUGCCAGAGCAUUUAAAUUGAAAUUUGGGGAAUCAAGGGUUGUCAGCAGUUGCAAAAGCUGAAUAUACUUAACCAUUUGAUAAUAGCUGUGCAAAGAUGCAGUACAGUAUCGAGCAUGUCCAACACAGUUGCAUUACUGUACAGAAUAUAUUCUUGCCAAAUCUCUAAUGCAACGAGCAGAGUUUUGAAAGUCAUUUGGAAUUAACAUUUAACAGUGGAUGAUAUGUAUACCCACAAAAAGAUUGCAUUGUAUGGAAAAAUCAAACUGCGUAAGAGAGAAAGAGGAAAGAGGGAUGAGAAAAUGAUUUGUUGUUAAUAUCUUUUUCAAUCAUGCUUAACCUUGAAAGUUGCAGCAGCAUCUGCAGAAAUGUCAAAAUAUGGAAGUUGUAUAUAAUCAAAGAAUUUCUUGACAUUUGGUGAUUCCAGGACAUAUCUGCAGUCAAACCCGACAAAUGAGUGUACAAAACAUUGGCAGCACACCAUAAAAAAAAACAAUAAAUAAAUAAAUUAUGGAAGCUGAUAGUUGAGAAAAGCAAUCCCGAAACCAAAAAAAAAAAUUAAAAAUGAAAGUGAUUGUUCUAGAUAUUGACUUCACAUCACACUUUGACAUGUUUAUGUAAAGAUAAAUGGAGCACAUAUUUUAGUAUAAUUAAAAGUCUAAACAGAAAUCUUUUUCAGGAUUUUUAAGGAAAAGAUUACUCUCCUAAUCAGAGACAAUAUUGAUAGUCUGAUAUAAAUUAAACCACAUAGUUGAUUUUGCUCACCUGGCAACAGUCUGGUGACGUAUGCACUCCCUCAACAUUACGCCAUAGUGCAAAGCCAUAUCUGUGUUUUCAUAACUAAAGAAGCAAGAUACUGUAAUUAGAAGAUCCCAAGAAGUAUAGUUCACAUGACAAAACCAUGUAAAAAUUCUGUAAACAGCCAUCCUCUUACAUUAUUGAAAUCUAAAAAAAAAAAAAAGAACAGCUGAAUACAACUUCCAGACAUCCGAGAAAGAAGAAAGGCAUCACUUGUGAAACAGAUCACUAAUGGGAUCUUGAAACAGAGAAUGGACAGUCAACAAAAUAUAUAUGUGAUAAUUAAGGCACAAAAAUUUAUCCCACAAGAUGUCAGAAACGAUGCAGCAAACAAAAAAUUUAACCCAUUAAUCAUCUUGAAAAUAUUAGAUAACCGAUUGAAUGGAAUCAUUAUAUUCUCAAUCCCCAACAUUCCCCAGCAAUAAUGGCUUACCCUGCUAUCAAAGUAUCCAAAAGAUCUGUAUUUUUCUCCAGGUAGUCUGAUGCAAUCAACCUUGAAUUAACUUGUUGCCUUUGUAGAUUUGCAACAACCUGAGUGGCAUCUUUUCUGGCCUGCAAAAAGAAACAUUUUCAUGCUAAAUGACAAAAAAGAGAAACUGGCAGUUAAAUGAAAAUUCUUUCCAGAUGGGAAUCUAAUCCAACAGAUUCAACAGGGCAAGUAUAAAGUAUAAAGCAUGUCACUAAACCGAUCCAUUAUGAAAGAACAAUGAAUAAGAAUAGUAUUCCCUCAUAAAUCUGAUAGCAAAUUCAAGAUAGCAAUCUACAUAGCUCUCAACCAAUAAACUCGUCAGUGGUUACCUCUAAGUUCAAUUGGGAUAGACAGAAGAUCAAAAGACGAAGUGUGUUUUCUCUGAAAAACUCCUGAGUCAAUUGUGCACACGCUUCUGAAACCGGUUCAGACUCACUAUUGCCAUAAAGAAUUGACUUUAACUCCCUGAUAUUUUUAGCUAACUCUGCCAUCUGUAUUAGAAAAUACAAUUGUCAAAUUCGAAUUCCACAAAUAAAAUGCUUGACAGAAGCUUAAAUGCCCCAGUAGCCCUGCUCAAGAAAAUAACUUAUCAAAACAUGCAACAAAAGCAAGAAAUUAUACAGCGACCUAAUGCAUGUUCAUCGCAAUCUUACAUCUACACUCACCAAAAUUCAACAACACGAAUCUAAUUUUUAUUGUGAACAAACUAGUUGAAACAAAUCAAUGACACAUAUAGCACCACAGAUCACACCUAAUUCACAAACCUACAAUCAAAGUUUCCACUUUACUCCCUUGACUACUAAAGCUACUAAAAAGCUAAAACCUUUACACCAACCACUGCCAGUAAUAUCAGAUUCCUCUCACAACACACCCAACCACAUUCAAGUUAAACUUGGCCAGCAAACUAACCUCUUUGCAAUCACAUUAGCACUCAGAAAUUAACUAUUUCUUCCUAUCUAUGUAAAUAUCACAGCAUAUUAUAGCAUGCUCUAAUCCAAACCUCAAUCAGACAUCAAGAAUCACCCUAAAAAACGCAAUUUUUUCAUAAAGAUUGAACCUUUCUAAUCCAAAGCAAAAAAAGAAAAGCAACCCAGACCCCAAACAAUCUCAAAUCAAUCAAAAUCCACCUAAUUAAAAGAAAACAACAGAAAAAGAACACAAGCACACAUAAAAUAUAUAGAAAUGAAUAGAAAGAGACUGCCAACCUUCUCUUCUCGUUUUGAAUCUGAUAAAGAAGCUGAACUCUGAUCAGCAUAGAUUAAAAGAUCGCGAGUCUGUCUAACUAUAUCGACAGGAGUCCUCGGCUUUGACUUGAAAAGUCCCUUCAUCCUCUUCGAAUCACCCACUAACUGCCCCGAUUUCGAACUCAACAGCACUGGAUGUCCCGAUUUAGAAUUACUCAACAGCCCAGAAUGUCCCUUUGUCGCUACUGCCGCUGCCGCUGCCGGCGCCGGUGAUUGUGGCGGUGGCGAUACUCUCCUCACCACUACCUCCUCCCGGGCUGCUGCUGCUGCGGCAGCUGGUUUUGACACGCAGACUCCUAUGUUUCCUCCCUUUAUAAACCCCACAAAAACACAAGAAAGCGAUUUUGCCUUCUAUCUACGAAAAGGGUUCACCGUUUACUUGAUUUCAGCCACCAAUUUUGCUUUUGGAUUAUUGGGUUUUUAUGGGAUCUUGGUAAAAAUGUGUGCUUGAUUCGACGGUUAUGGUUUUUUGGGCUUUGCAUAAACAGAUUGCCAGUCGUUACCGUGUCACUAACCGCUGAAUACUUACAGUACAGUGCUAUUUUUUCUUACGUAUUCAUUUUCUCUAUUAUUUUUAUUAUAAAAAUUACAAAAGAGGGGAAUUCACUAUUACCGUCUUACAAAAGCACUGUUUAUUAUGGUUUUAAAAUAUUAUUUUAAUAAAAAAUCCAAAAAAAUAAAAUUCAUCAUCGGUGUGAUAGUUAGUUAAACAGGUCAGCUAAAGUUUUCAAGGUCAGCUGAUUUUUUUUUCCAACUCAAAUGGCUCCAGCAUUGUUGUUAAAAACGCGUUUUAACUUGUAAAAUCGUACAAUUUUACGAGUUAAAACCAGUAAAACGUUUUGAACCGGAAGAAAAACUCGAAAAUGGUCAAACUCGCUUAAAACCAGGUCAAACUCGCACAAAACCGUUAAAAACGUUACGAUUCCACGAGUUAGAUGCAAUGUCACGCGGCGUGAAUGGAAAAUUAGAAGUGAAACAUUUUAACUCAGGGGCUCAGGGCAUUAGAAAUUUAGGGCACUAACACUAACUAAUCUAUUUUCUUUCCCAAUUCCCAGUUCCCACCCAAGUACCCGACCAGGCGACCACCCUCCUGAGUCCUGCGACUUCGUCGGUUCGUCACUGUCUCAAGGUCACCCCACGGUCCCCAGACGGCCAGACUCCUCACCUGUGAGUCUGUGACUUCAUCAUCGUCCCUGACUCCUUGUCUCACACUCUCCUUGCCUCCAGAGUCCAGAGUCCCAGACGAAGGUAAGCAAUGAUUCUCAAUCCCAAGCUUUGUUUUUUUUCUGUUUAAUUAAGUGAUUAGCGACAAAAAAUGAUUUGGGUAUGCUGUGAUCUUGCUUAAUUAAGUGGUUUACUUCUGUCCGGGGAAUUUUUUUCGGUUUGAUCUGGGCAAUGGGCAAUUGGGCAUGCUGAAGUUCUGCAAUCUGUGAACUGUGAAGUGUGAAUUUGUGAACUGUGAAGUGUGAAUUUUUUUCUGUUUGAUGUUGCUUGCUUUGCUGUGACUUGAUCGCCGGGCUUGAUGAAUAACCUUGCUUUUGAUUUCUGUGAUUCUCCCCAUUCCUGAUACCCAUCUUGUGAUCAUUGGAUUUAUUGCCAUUUUGUGAAGCUUGAACUGCAUAAAAGGCAUUGAAAGCUUAAUUCCCAACAGAAAAAGAGGCGCUGUGCCUUUGUGAUAUUAAAGCUCAUUUUAUAAUCUUCAUGAGAGAUUUGCUCACAUUGUCCCCUUAAAUCUCCCUACGCCCAGAGCUUUCCUGAUAGUUACGGAACCUAUAGAAAAUAUCUCAGUACAAUUUGGUUUACAAUUUCAAAAACUUAAUAUUAUUUUUAUGGGCCAAUGUCUCUCGAAUUAUUCUAGAGAAACAAAAAAAAAAAAAGUGCAUUAUGUUUGUGUCAUUCUGCGAAAUGACAGUGUGAAUUGUGAUUGCUAUAAAGUUUGCAGCAUACUCGUAGGCCGUAGCUUUCUCAUUGUAAAUUUGUGAUUGACACCGGGGCUGUUUUGGUUGAAUGGGUGUCACUAAUUGCAUUCUGUUUGUGUCAUUCUGCGAAAUGACAAUGUGAAUUGUGAUUGCUACGAAGUUUGCAGCAUACCCGUAGCUUUCUCAUUGUGAAUAAUUUAUUGAACUGGCUUCUAAAAAAACUACAAGUGGCAAUAGACUUGAUGUGGGAUGACAAUAUGGCAUAGAUGUUUGGAUAUUUGUAUUGUUUAUUUUAGUUUUAUUUGAAUUAUAUAUUUUAAUAUGUUUAGAUAUUUGUAUUGUUUAAAAUAUUUUACUUGCGAUUUUACGAUUUUAGUUAAAAUAUUUUACUUCCGAUUUUACGAUUCGAGUUUAAAUUGAAUGUUCCGUGUCGUGUUAAAAAAGCGUUUUUGACAACCUUGGGCUCCAGUCCUAGAUUAGAUUAACUGGGUCUAAGUUGAUUUAUCAGGUAGUCUAGGUUUUAAAACAAUAUUUUUAAUAGUUCAUAAUUUACAUCAUGAAUUUAAUAAAUUAAUUUAAUUAUAUAUAUAUAUAUAUAUAUAUUAUUUUAAAAAAAUAAAUUGUCAUUUUAAAAAAUAUUUUGAAAGUCAAAUUAUAUUUUUAUCUGGAAUUUAGGUUGUUAUUAGACAUGUUAAAUUCACUAUAUUAUAUUAAAUUAAUUCUAACAGGGUUUUGAUUUUAAAUUUUAAUUAAAUAAAAAGAAUUCAAAACUAAAUUAAUUUAUCCAAAUUUAAUAAUAUUAUCAGAAUAUUACUGUUGCCUAAACAUUUUUUUAUACUUUUUUUAUUUGUUCGGCUAGUAGCAUAACGUAAUUAUCCAGUAAUCGAUCUAAUCCAUUUAAAAAAAUUUAAGAUUAACAGCUAUACGUGCAGGGAAUAACAUGGGGUAAGUUCAGAUUGUAAUAAAAAGGACUUAUUCCAUUCAAACUUCUUAGGUUUGGAAACAAUCAUUGGCUUGCUAGAAAGAUGGCAAAUUUAUUUUUAAUUAGUCUUAUUCAUAAAAGAAUUCUGUAAAUACUAGUUAAUGUGAAUGGAAUAAGUCCUUUUUAUCUGGAUUGAUACUAGUUAAACUUGGAUUGAUUGUGGGUUGAUCUGCAAUAUAAUUAAUUUAUAAUUUGUAACAGUUCAAGUUAAAUAAAUAAAUAAAGAAUUUAAUUGAUCUCAUAAAAGAAUUCAAGUUGAUUGGUUUCAACAUUUAUAAUUUUUUUUUUAAAAAUUUAUAAAAAAAUAUUAUUUUAUCUUAUUUAGAAAAAAAAAAACAUUUAACAAUUGAUUUAUAGUUUUUUUUUACUCCUAACCUAUAUCUUAUUCUGGUCCACUCUAUAUCAAGUUUUACAACUAUAUUAGAUUUAUUAAUUCCUUUAAAUUUUAUAAUGGAAUUAUUUUGGAUCCAUAUCCAAUAUAAAAAUGUGAUUCAAUAUUUAAUAUUAAAAUUGUAGUUGCAUAAAUCUAAUGAGUUUCUAAAGUAGAUAAUAUCAUAAAAUUAUCUUUUAUAUAGGCUAUAUAUAAAGGAUGGCAAAUGAUAAUCUUAUUCAAUUCACGAAAUUAACAGCUACUAUAACAACACAAAUAAACCACAGCAGACAAAACAAACACACACAUGUUUUCUCAUGGAGUCUCACACACACACACAUCAAUGUUCUCUUGUCACCACCACAUAAUUAAACAUAAGGUUUUCAUCACCAAAAUUAACAUUACCAAUUGGCUAAGAAAUUGACUCUAUUUCCAACACCCUGGAACACGCAUCGCACAUUCCUCCAAUAUUUGUUGAUGGAGUACCAUCGUCUUCGGAAAUCUCAUCGAUUUUUUUCUCACCUUCAAGUACACUGACGACUUCGGAUAUUUUAGGCCUUAGAGUAGGAGACAGUUUAACACACUUCAUUGCUAACAGCAAAACAGUGAGAGCCUGCUUCCUAUCAUAACUGGAUGCUAAUUUCUUGUCCACCAAGUCAAGGAUUCUUCCCUUAUCGUGCAAAACACCAGCCUGCAAUUACAAAGCAAGAUUGGCUUAGCUACGAGUAUUAAGGAAAUAAUCAAGUAAAUAUUCCUGAUUAUUUUCUAUUCAAUAAAAAACAAAUCAAGAAAUUAAAUAAUUCUAGGCAAUCAAGAAAUUACUUCAAUCAUCCAAUUAAAGGAUACAAUAAACUCUAUUUUCUAUAAUUUAUUUUAUUUACUUAUGUGUCUUGUAUAUAAUUAUAUAAACUUCAUAUGAGUUGAAUAUAACACAUAUAUCAAAUUAUUGAAUAAUAAUAUCUUUUUUUAUUCUAAAUUUCUUCUUAGUAUUAGAACAAUCUUUAAAUAUUAGCUUUUGUUUUUUCAUGAGUUGAAUGUAAAACAUAUAUUAAGUUAUUUGAUGUUGACAGAACAUGUUUGGUUUGAUAAUAACUACGGGAAAAAAAAAGAACAAAGGGUUUAUCCUGUAAGACCCACUUACUUUAUCUAGAAGAAACUCAGCUUCUUGGUUUGGUGUGUAAUCUGCACUAACUUUCCCGCUAACUAUUUCGAGUAGGACAAUUCCGAAACUGUAAACAUCAGCUUUAACAGUUAUUGCUUUUCCCAUUGAAUACUCAGGUGCCAUGUAAACUCUGCAAUAAGAGAUUAUUUAUUGGUUAGCUCAAUUAAUUAAAAGAAUGAAAGUAGUUGUCCAUCAAUGAUCAUAAUACUUACCGCGACCCUUUUGCUUUGAUGGCCAUAAAUGGAUCUUCCUCAUCACAAAGCGUUGCCAAUCCAAAGUCAGACAACUUGGCCGUAAGAGAGUUAUCAAGCAUAAUAUUACUAGGUUUUUAUGUUUCCAUGAACAAUCUUGAACCUUUUCUCUUCAUGUAAAUACUUCAAACCUCUUGCUAUUCCCCGACAGAUAUCAAAUCUAGUUUUCCAAUCGAGUUUUGUCGUGGAAUUUGGUUCUACAAAUCAAGAUUAUUGAUAUUAAGUUAUUGAUAUUUGCAAGUACACUAUCCUUGUACUAACAGAAGAUUCAAAUAUACAAUUAGAAGCUCUCACAAACAUUAAGUAACGGAAUUCUAUUACUACUGUACGUGUUUUAGUUCUCAACAAUUAUAUGAAUUUCACAAGGCAAUGCAUUAGGUGAAAAUUAAGAUAAAACUUGAGAACCGAAAGAGAUGGCAGUAUUACCGAACAACGCAUGGUGAAGGGAGCCUUUAUGCAUAUAGUCAUAUACUAGCAGAUGCAGGUCUUUAAUAGAAUAGCCAUCCAACAAUUGAACAAGAUUCUCAUGAUGCAAAGAUUUCAGUUGAAGAUUUCCCUUUGUAAUUCAUCUUUUCCUUGUUGCUUUGAUUGAGGAGAAAUCUUCUUCACUGCUAAUUUUAUCUCGUUCGGCAAUUCAGCCUGUAUACACGUGAAAUCAAUUUACCAGAACUCUGAAAGAAAAAAGUGCAUGUUGAGGAACAAAUGUUUCAGAAAAGAAAAUCUGACCUUGUAUACUAUUCCAAAGCGUCCCCUUCCAAUCUCCAUUUUGGGGCUAAAUUUUCGAGUAGCAUCGAUUAUUUGUUUGAGGGUGAAAUAUAUUCCAUCUCUUUUUACCUCAAUAGUUAUUUCUAUUUGAAGAAAAAAUCAAAGUAAGAAUUCUUAAGGUUGUGUGGUGCAUAAUGAUCUUAGAUUAGCAUGGAGAGGUACCAUCCAACUCGCUUUUCCGCAGCCAGCCCAUUUUCCACAUGAAAGCCAACAGAAGUAGAGGAGCAAAUACUGAACCUGCAGUAAUCCCUGCAAUUUGUGAAGGAGAUAGUUUCUUGCCGCCAACUUUGAAGUCUGAAUACAAAUAGUGGAAGACAAAAGAAAAAAUUAUUUAUCCAGAUAAAGUGUAAUAGAAAUCUUUGCUCAACAAAAUUAAGAGAAUGCAAUCUUUACUUGCAGUUACGGAAAUGCCUGCACAAGGGGUCCAUUUAGAGACAGUGCAGCAGGUGAAUAGGAAAAACCUGGCACCGGAAAGAUCCUUUGCCAGCCCAGAAAAAAUGGAUAGUCAAUAGAUGAUCAUCUCCUACAUAUGCCGUGAAAUUUUGAGUCGUAUUUGAAACACUGCCGCGUUUUCUUUAAUGUUGAAGUCUUUUAGUUCUCUCUUCCCCUAUAUCAAAAAUGGAUGUAAUGUUGAAUGGUGGAAACUUUUGAAAGAAGCUGCAGAAAAUAUAGCGGUUACCUGUAUAUAUACAUCAAAAACACGUUUCCCUAAAUUCGAGUAAUCUUCAUCACUUUUGUAAACAGUUUCAGCGAAGUAAAGCUUGACAGUGUAAUUUCCUUCAAAUAAACAGAAGCCGUAAUAUGUUAGAGAAAGAGGGCAGAGGCGACUUGAGUUGUAUAACGUGUCCAGCAGAAUCACAAUCUCCACAUUCCACGUUUUUUAUGUAAUCACUGGAAUCAUAAGUCUCCGAACCAAAGUCUCCAGAACAAGAAUAAGCCCAAUUUUCUUUUGGGGGUUUAUAGUAAUUUGUUGCUGUACUGUCUGCUUCAAACUCUUUCCCAUAAAAAACUGUGCCUCCUCCUCCACAAUUUAUAUAUAAGGAAUCGUCUGCAAAAAAUGAUAAUCAGUACAGAAAAUCUGUCCUGCGCAAAAUUCAGAGCUUCUCAAUAGAACUUACACUUUGGGUUUUCCCCGACAUUUAUCUGUCAAAUCACGUAUAGAAUUCCUAGAAAUAGCAAACAACAUUUGUAAGAAAUAGCUCAGGAUUAUUUGUUCUAAAUUAAUUUCACCAUACGGAGGAUAUUACCAUACCUGUUUGGUUCACUGCUUGAGUAGGAACAACAUGCAAGCAGUUGGUGCACAUGGUACAAAAUGAUCAGAAGUUGGAAUUUCAUAGACAAUAAUUUUCUUGCAAGUGAAAAAAAAGGAAGAAGAAAAUGAAGUUGCCGUUAUUACAUGUUCAGCUUUCGUUCUCCUUUCUUCGGACCAUCACGUCGAAUUGUAAAAUUAUUAUAUGACAAGUCCCUGCAACGUUAUUGUUUACAUAUCAAGAUUUUAUUGAGGAAAUCUACAAAAGGGAAAACAACCCAUCUGAGCAAAGAGCACAAAGCCAUGACAUACGCCUUAUCUUCAAUGGUAUGAGGAAGCCAGGAAGGUACUGUGCCAUUAAGCAUAUUUCCUGUAAGAAACCUAAACAAAACCAACCAGAAUGAAAACCAUAUAUAUAUCCCAUGUACUUUUUAACAGAGUGGCAGAACGAACUUAUUAUAAGACAUCGAGUUCAAGGAAUCUCUUUUGCAUACAUCUUACUUAAAUUCAGCUUUUUCAUGGAAUAUGGUAUUCCACCAGUUAAGCUAUUAAAGCUCAAGUCUCUGCAGGAUCAAAAAAAUGAAAGCAAACGUUAUCAUACAUAUUUGAUAUAUAGUUGUGCUAUGGUAAAUUAUUGCAUAGUUGAUUCUGUAAACACAUAGUCAACACUUCUAUGCAUGGCCUAAAGGCCCUAAACAAUGAGCAUUUAUAGAGCUGAUGAAACAAAAUAGCCACGACAGAACUACAAAUCUUUUACAAAAGAGGAAAUGAAACUUACAGGUAUUUUAACGAUGACCAAUCACCAAUGUACAGGGGGAUUUUACCACUUAUUGAGCAAUUCCUUAUCAUCCUACACAAAUCAUUGAAGAAGUUGGUGUUUGGAUUUAUCCAAUGCAUACAUAUCGUUAAGAGUCACAUACAGAAAUAUUGUGACUUCAUGAUUCUUUCUGUUAUGCCUAUAGUCGUAAUUAAUAUAUAUAUAUAUUAUUUAAACCAAAAAGUUUUUUUUUAUUCUAAAUUUAAAAAAACAUGAUUUUUUUCUUGAGAAUAUAAAAUAUAUAUAUUAAUGGGUUUCAAAUUCUAUAUUAAAAAAACAUAACUUUUUUCAUGGGAAUAUAUAAUAUAUAUACAAAAGGGCUUCAAAUCACACAUUGAAAAGAUACUAUAUUAUCUUUUUAAAUUGAAGUAUUUAAACCAAAAGGUUUUUUUAUUCCACAUUGAAAAAACAUGAUUUUUUUUCUUGAGAACAUAGAGUAUAUAUAUGAAAGAUGUUAUCCUUUUUAGUUGAAGUAUUUAAACCAAAAUGUUUUUUAUCCCACAUUAAAAAAUAUAACUUUUUUUCCUGAAAACAUAGAGUAUAUAUAUUAAUAGGUUUCAAAUCCCAUAUUUUAAAAAAAAAAACCGGGUCUCGUCUAGGUUCGCCCGGGUCAUGGGACGACCCAACAGCUGACCCAACAACCCAUCACCGGCCUUCACAGACUAUCCUCCACAGACCCGAACCAGGCCCUCCAGAUCCACCGAUAACACAACCCCUCUGCUCUUUCAGCUGCCCCCUUCUCUGCUAAACCGAGACCCAGCUUUCUCUCCUUCACUCAGCCACCUCUGCCUCUCUGUAAUUCGUCCAUAGAUGCCAUUUCAAAUCAACCCCUUGUUUCCUUGUUUUUCUCAGCCGUUUCCAGCACUGUUCCUGAGUCUAUUUUGUAAUUUGUAGAUUUUGAAAUGUGUAUUUAAAUUAUUGUAAGCAAUUUUAAUUUUUGUUACAUUGGAAACUUGAAACUGGGAGUGGGUGAGUAAAUUAGAAUGUUUGGUUGGGAGUGUGUGUUUGUGGGUAUUUUCUUUUAUGUUUUUUGAAUGUUAAAAAACAAAAAGAAUUAAAUAUAUAUUUUUUAAUUUGCAUAUGAUAAAAUCGUAUCCAUUUGACAUGAAAUUUCAAGAAUAUAUUUUGGUAUGUAACUAGUUUUAUAUUUUUAUUACUUAAAGCCUUGAUAAUUAUUUAUGUGAUUUUCGAGUGUGAGCUUUAAAGAAAAGCAAAGGAAGGAAAAACUCACAGGUAUCUUAUUCCCGUCAUACUUGCAUUUUUUGGGAAAGGGAAACCGGCCGAGCUUCUUACAUCACUAACCACCCUGGAAGAAAAACCAUCCAGAAUAAAAACAUGCAUUUAUUUCAACCCGGUUAAAUUAAAUUAUAGAGCACUUACAAGUAUCGAAGAUUUGACAAGUUAAAAAGAAGUUCAAGAGGCAGCUCUCCUUCAAAAUCAUUCCCGGAGAGGAACCUGUCAUCAGUACACAAAAACACAAAUCAUUGAAUGAUAUUCUUCGAUCAUCGACAGUUUCUCAAUCAAAUAAUAUUACAGAAAGUACAAGUAAUUUCUUACAGGUAAUUGAGUCCAGUCCAAUUCGCAAUGAACCUUGGUACUUGACCCGUCAAACGGUUCCCAGCUACGCUACUGCAGCCAUAGUUAGUUGCUUUUCCUUGGAACAAUAAUUAAACAGAUUGUUGGUUGAAAGAAUAUGAUGAGUUGCACUUACAACCACCCCAAUUGAUCCGAAGUAAAGUUGGCGUAAUUUCGCGGCAGUUCUCCACUCAAAUUGUUGGAGCUCAACCCUCUACAACAACAAAUCAAAAGGAUUGUAAUCCACCCUUUUUCUAUUUUAUUUCUCCUAUUACAAUCAAAAGUUGACAUUAUUAUUCUUCUUUUUGAAACUUACAAAUAACUAAGAUAUCCCAAUCUUCCAAGUUCUGAUGGAAGCUGACCACUGAGUUCAUUGAAGCCCAAGUCCCUAAUUAAAUAAGAGAUAUGAACCAAACCAAACUCAAAAAGUUAAGAGGAGAAUGAAAGAGUGAGUGAGUGAGUUUCUAUGCAUAUGUAGGAGAUUAGAGAGGUUGCCCAAUUCUUUAGGGAUAAGAGCACAAAACUUGCAUAAGCAAUGGAAAAAGAAUUUAAUUAACAUUAUAUGAUACUGAAAAGACUGUGAUUACAUGAUACUUACAGAACAUAGAGGGACGUCAAAUUCCCUAAAAAUCGAGGUAUGGAGCCAAUGAGGAAGUUACCGGAGAGAUCGCUAUGCAUAUGUAUUACCAUAUUAGUUCAUUAUUGCUAAAAAAUAAAAAUUCGCGUUCUAAAAUAAGAACCAAUAAUUUAAAUUUUAAGAAGACACACUAAGAACUGAAAUUAGUUAUUAAAUAUGAUCCAAAAGCUAAGUAGCUCUUUGCUUAUAACCCUGCAGACAACCCAACAAGCAUCAACACAGUUAAGCAAUUAGUGAAACAAGGCUUUUAUCCUAAUUAAAUAAAAAAAGAGAGAACCAAACAGAACUCAGAAGUCAACUUUUGUGACCAUUAACACCUUGCCAUGAACAUUUAUAGUAUCAAGACCCCAAACAGCUUGCCUUUUUUUUUUUCAUUUCUAACAAAGCUAAUUUUACUUGAAAAUGUUUCACCAAAAAUACUAUUAAAAAAUCGUAAUUAUUACAAGUUUAAUCUAUCAAUUGUAUAUUCAGUAACUUCUUCUUAUAAUGAAGCAAAUUUGGGUUCUUAACUCAAAUUUUCACCAUUAUAAUAUAAUUAUAUAGUCCUAACACAACUUCUCCGAAUGAAAAUGAAAUUUUAACUAUUGGGUUUUUGGAACUUAUCGAUGGAAUCUAAGUAUUUAAUGGAAUAUAAUUUAAAAGAAGUGAUUUUAGAGGGAAAAAAAUGUUAGAUAUAUAUAUAUAUAUAUUCUGACAACGCAUGCUGAGACUAUAUUUUCACAGAAGAUAUAUGUUAAUUGUAUGCUCUUUUUUUUUACCAUUAUAUAUUGUUUUUUAAAAUAACAGCAAUGGUAUAAAAUCAACCCCAAAUAUCCAAGAUGUUCUCCUAUAAUUCAUAUAAAAAUGGAUGUUCUUCGAUGCCCAAGUCGAACUUUUUGGUUAGUGCCAAUUUUUUUUUUAAGAAAUUCUUGAUUAUGGAUAGUUUGCUUUUAACUAUAUUAGAAAUAAUAGAUUUAGUCUUAAUUAAAGCAUGAAAUCUAAAUAGAAAAAACAUAAUAAUCUAUAAAAAUUGGACAUGGGAUGUUUAUGAAAAAAAGUCAAUAUUAAUAAAAUACAUAUAAACGCCCACAAGAAUAAGAGCACAAAACUUGCAUCAGCAAUGAAAAAAAAUUUAAUUCACAUUAUAUAAUACUGAAAAGACUGUGAUUGGAUGAUACUUACAGAUAUCCGAGGGACGACGUCAAACUCUCCAAAAAUGAAGGAAUGGAGCCAUUGAGGAAGUUAUCAGAGAGAUCGCUAUGCAUAUGUAUUACCAUAUAAGUUUAUAUAUUAUUACUCAAAAGAUAAUAUAUUUAAUGCAUGCUGAGACUAAAUUAAUUUUCAUAGAAGUUAGUAAUUGUAUGCUUUUUUUCUUACCAUUAUAUAUUAUUUUUUAAAAGAACAACAAUGGUAUAAAAUCAACCCCAAAUAUCCAAGAUGUUCUCCUAUAAUUCAUAUAAAAAUGGAUGUUCUUCGAUACCCAAGUCGAACUUUAUGGUUAGUGCCAAUUUUUUCUUUUAAAUCUUGAAUUCUUGAUUAUGGAUAGUUUGCUUUUAACUAUAUUAGAAAUAUUAGAUUUAGUCUUAAUUAAAGCAUGAAAUCUAAAUACUUGAUUAGGAAAAACAUAAUAAUCUAUAAAAAUUGGACAUGGGAUUUUUCAGAAAAAAAGCCAAAAUUAAUAAAAUACCUAUAAACACCCACAAGAAUAAGAGCACAAAACUUGUAUCAAUAAUCAAAAAAGAAUUUAAUUCACAUUAUAUGAUAUUGAAAAGAUUGUGAUUGGAUAACACUUACAGAGAUUCGAGAGAUGACAAACUUCCCAAAGAUAAAGGUAUGGAGCCAUUGAGGAAAUUAUCGGAAAGAUCGCUAUGCAUAUGUAUUACCAUAUAAGUUCAUUAUUACUCGAAAGAUAAAAAUUCACAUCCUAAAAUAAGAACCAUUAAUUUAAAUUUUAAGAAGACACACUAAGAACUGAAAUUAGUUAUUAUAUAUAAUAAAAAAGCCAAGCAGCUCUUUGCUCAUAAUAAUGCAGUCACCCAAACAAGCCUCAACAUGGUUAAGCAAUUAAAAAAUAAAACUCGGAAGGGGGAAAACAUCCACAAUAAAUUAAUGGAAAAAGAAAAAAAGAUUACAAAUAUGAAAUGUUGAAAAUCAAUACAGAUUUCUUUACUAGCUCCCUUGUUUUUAGAAGGCACUUAUUUUAUUUAUAUUUUUUACUAUUUCAAACCGACAUCUAAAUUAUACUUGUAAAUAUCUUUUCUCUUUAAUGAAACAGUAAAAAAAACUCAUACUCCUAUUUAAUUUAACAUAUCUACAUUUAUUAAUAUUAAAUAUUAAACAUUAAAAGACUAUAAAAUUAUUUGAGAUAAUUAUAUUCGUAAAAUUAACAUUGAUUUUCCUAUAUUCGUGAAUACUUGUCAAUUUACAAAAUAUAAAUAUAAUUUUUUUAAAAUAAAUUCAACCAUCAUUAAUAUAUAUGUGUAAUAUAUAUAUAUAUAUAUAUAUAUAUAUGGUUACCCAAUAGUAGAUAAAGUAUAAUGCAUAGUCUGUUUUAGAAAUUGAUAACUUAUCCAUUUAGUCACUUUUAGCACUGGAAAAUAAUAGUAAGAACGUAUUUAACGAACAUUGGCAACAAAAUAAACUGCAGUAGUAGUAUAUGACCAUGGUAUUGGAUCACUUACAGAGAGGUGAGUGAAGACAAGUUCCCCAUGGUGACGUCAGGGAUGCUACCAUAAAGUUGAUUGUGGGACAAAUCACUGUUUUGGUAAUAGGAUUGUUAUCAAUUAGUUGAGGUCAGCAUACUGAUUCGAAUGAUUAUCAUCACAUGUCAUAUGAUACUCACAUUUCUUUUAGGAAAUUGAGACUAGCCAAGGCUGUAGCGUUGAUUUGUCCGUCUAAUUCGCGGUUUGAGAGAUCUCUACCUCCCAAAAAUGGCGUCAACAUAGCAACCAGUGAGUUUUAAAGAGGAUGCAUUGCCUUACAAAGAUAAAAAAAAUUGGAUGAAGUUGAUGAGGAACUUACAGGCCGGUGACGUGACAAACUGCGUUGUUCUCAUAACUGCAAUUGCAUUCGAUGCCUCGAUAAUUAUUGUCACAAGGCGAGCUUAGCAGCAAACCCCAGCCUAACGUGAUCAUCAAGUCAUCCAAAGCCGUUUCUGCCAAACGUUUUAAACAAAGAAACACAUAUUUUGUUUAGCAAGAUUCAAACAGGCCUAGCUAUUUCUACCUAGCUUCAAAUCCGAACUAAGAGAAGAAAAAAACGAGUGCUAAUUUUAUGGAUGUGUGAAUUGACUCCAUAUAAUUCCAUGUUGAAAAUCCAUCUAGAUUUCCUUACCACCUCCCUUGUUUAUAAAAUCCUCGUAAAAAUCACUUCAUCCUUAACCAAUCACUUCGCUUGAUAGUUAUAGGAAAAGAUGGAGAAGCAGGAAAUAUCUAAGAUAUGCAGUACGUAGGCUAGCACUACGGAACUCUCUGCCAGGCUGUGGAAGCACUAGCUAGAGAGUGCAAAUGGAAGAGAGAAAUAGCAGUAUCUUGUGCACAAGGCUUUUCGUUGUUUGGGUCACAAAGAUUAAGACCCUUCCUUCCAACUCAAGAUCAGUUUCUUGCAAACAUGAGUGAGUUUAUAGUCUAAACAGUUAAUUGAGUUUAUAUUCUUGAAAACAAAUUUUCUUCCUUCUUUUGUAUAUAGCAGGAAAAGGAUAUAUAUGUAGAUGGAAAAGUAUAUCGUGCGUGUGUACCUUCAUCGUCAGGCAACAGCGGGCUUUCAGAGGAAUUUGUUGAUUGACAAACUACAUAGCGAAAUUGACGAAGAAGAAGAAGAACGGCAAGAGAGGAAACAAGCUUAGGAAAGAGCUUAUUAAGAUAAAGUUUAGCCAUUACUUUAGCAUGCAAUGCGCUUCCCUUGAGAUGACAUACAUUCUUUAUAUAGAUAUUGUUUUACCGUUCAAACAGUUAUUAACUCUGAAUCAAUUACCUCACGUUACCAAAUUGUCCCUAUCCAAAUAUCAAAAUACCCGAGAAAAGUAACUUGCAAUAUUAUGCAUGGAGGCCUAACAAUUUUGGCUCAAGUAAAUUGCAAAAUGAUUCCAAAGCAGCAUCUUUUUAAAUUGAUUAUCUCGUAGUUUUUAAAACGGUGUAAAAUUUGCAUAUUUGAAUUCAAUUCAAUGUCUGAGAUUUGUAUUCAUUCAUGCAUAAUUAAUGGGUAGUAAUUAAUCAAAUAUAUAAUAUAUAAUUAUGAGUUAUUAUGCAUUAUUAAUCCAACACUAUUUUUGUAUCUAGUAUCCUCUCCCGAGUAAUGUGAGCUUGUGUUUUAUGUCUUUUAUCUCACAAUUCAUAGAAAAAUAUCCAUCACACUUUUUUUAUAUCUAUAUAAUAAUGGAGAGAAUUAUAUAUAAAGCAGCCCUUCUUCCACUUUGGACCACAAGUUGUCACUGAGGCCGCACAGAAGCCCACAAAAUUGUUUAACAAAAUAUGAGAGAAACAAAAACAAAAACUGUUUGCAUGGUUUGCUUCACACAAAAACAAAAUAUGAGAGAAAAUCACAGGACACAGCUUGCUUUUCUGAGAUUUACUUUAAAUAUAGCAAUUAAAAGUACCGCAGAUAUAGUGGUGUAGCCAUAAUAUUUUAAAUGAGGGAUAAAUUACUUAUAAAUAUUCAAUAUUAUAUAUUAUAUAGAUAUAUGUUAUAUAAAGAAAUCUACUAAUUAAUUUAAAAUUUGUAAAAUAAAAAAACUUACAUUAUAAUUGUUCUCUUCGAGAUUUUAUAUUUUAAAACUGCUUCAUAAUAAUUUUAUUUUUAAUCUCAUUAAAAAUAUAUUUCUCAAUAUAUACAACAAACUUUUAUUUAUUUAUUUCUAAAUCUUUCAAGGAUUACGGAAGUUCUUGGUAAUAAUUCUAUGCUGAUAUAUGAUUUAUAACAUCUAAAAUUAUAGCUUAAAAGGAUUGUCAUAAAUUGAUAUUGUUCUUAUUGACUUGUUUUGUACAAAUUUAUUAAAAAUAAAUAUUAAAUGUUUUCUUUUUAAUUUAUCUAUUAUCUUUCUAAUUUUUUUAGCUGUCUUUUACUUCACUUUUAAUCAUUAGUAAAUUCGUCAUUUUUAUUUUUAACAUAAAAUUUAUAGCAAAAUAAUUAUCAAUUCAUCAAAAUUUAUUUUAAUUCAUAUUCAUUAGCAUAUAAUAUUAUUCAUACUUAUAUUAAUUCAACAAAUAUAUAAAUUAUUAUAAACUCUAAUAUUUUUAAUAACUAAUUAGUAUAGAAAAAAGAAACUAACAAGUAGUUAAUAAAGAAAAUUAUUUUGAAAUAAAAUAAAAUAAAGGAUCAAUUACGUACCUUCUCUUGCACUCAUGUGCUCCGCCACUGCGUAGAUAUUUGUUUAAGGUAUAUUGUGCUCCAAUCUUAAUUAGUUUAUAAAAACUACAAACAAUAAUGAAUGGGUAUCAGCAUACAAAACCUUUUAUCUUAUUUAAUUUAUCCCUGUAUAUAUAUACCCGAUUUGUCCAAACUCAAGCAUAUAAACCAUAAAAAAAAACAUAUCCAAAAUAAGUUCACAUCUUAAAUAGGUUUAAUUUAGAAGGACUAAAUUAAGUAAAUAUUGUUCAUAAAUCCUAUUUUGACGCAAACCAAUCUUAAUUCCAAUAAAGCCCAUUUAAAUGGUAGAGUUUUCACAUAAUUUUACUAAGAUUUCUACUAUUAAAUGGUAGAGUUUUCACAUAAUCCUACUAAGAUGGAAUACAAAGAGUCAUAUGCUGCGAAAAGAAAAGAAAAAAAAUCAAGAAAAGAAAGCUUGUCUUGAUAAUUAUAAUACAUAGUUAGGUUUAAAGUUGAUGAGAUAUCUAUUGUUAACUAAUAUUUUUUGAGUUUUAAAAUAGUUAGGUUUUAAUUUGAUAAGAUAUUUAUUGCUGACUAAUUUCUCCUUUAUACAUUGCUAUUAUCAAAGAAUCACUAGAAACUUAAAAGCUUAAAGUUUUAAUUAUUACGUACUAGAACAUCUUUUCAAGUGAACAUUUAUCAUUAUAUAUUUUGUUUUAUAUUAAUAUGUUUUUUGUAGAAUUGAAUUUUUUUUUACAUUGAUAAAAGAAUUAUAAUGUAAAUGAUUGGAUUCACGGAAUCUGAAGUAAAAAUGCAUCUUUUAAAAUUGAUGGUGAAGUCUUUGUUCGUGUUCAGCAUCAAUUUUUUGCCUCGUCAAGCAGAGAAAGAUUAAUAAAGCUAAAGCAUAUCAGUACGAAUACCGCAAGUUGAUCAUAGAUAUCUCUACAUUUCUUGGGUCCAAUAUGUGAACCUUGAGAAGUAAUAAAGACUUGACAUGGUUUUCUAUAAUAGGUUAAGCCUCUUAAUUAUUUUUAAUUUUUUCUAUGCCCAUCCAACGGCUCUCCCAAAUUGCUUGAUACAUCAUAAAAUGACUUGAUUUUGUAAUGUAUAUGAUUGAACCCAUGCAAUCUAAACAUUGAAAAGUAAAAAAGAAUCUUUAAAAUUUGGUCAAGUCUUUGUUCGUGUUCAGUAUCAAUAUUGGACCCACGGAAUGUGAUCCUUGAGAAGUAAUAAGGUCAAAAUAAAUAAAUAAAUAAAUAAAGACUUGACAUGGUUUGCUGUCUUUUCUAUGCCCCGCUAACGGCUCUGCUAAAUGAAUUGAUUUUUUGACAUUAUCAGAAAAAUAAUAAUCAACAUGAUCGAACCCAUGGAAUCUGAACAUUGAGAAGUAAGAAAUAAUGCAUCUUUAAUAUUUAUGGUCAAGUCUUUGUUCAUGUAAUUCAGCAUCUUUUGUUUUCCAUAUUAUGUGGAUCAAAAUUGCAUUGUCAAGCAGAGAACAAAUAAUAAAGCUAAAGCACCACCACAAGUUGAUAGAUUACUUUUUUUUAUAGGUACUCUACCAAGGUAUUGUUUAAACUAUAUUUUAUUUCAAAAUAAAUAAAGUAUAUAGCCUUCUGCGCUUGUAAUUGCUAAACCAUUUUGUAUUCAGAAUAUAUUAUUUAUGCUAUUCUCCCAUGAAAAGUUUUGGCUGUGAUAUUCAUACACCAAUUGCUGGCUCAAUUUCAUACACCAUGGAAGACUUGGUUGAUAUGGUCGAUGACGUGGACACCUAUGGUGAUGGGGAAGAAGACGUUGCGGAUGAUGAGGACCUUUGGGGACUGCAGCAACGGGUUGGAAAAAUCAGAUCUGGCAAAGGAUGGAGACAAUUAUCACGUAUUGAUAUUCAAAUACUCGAAAAACAAAUUAGGUGGUGUGCUGCCUCAAUCAGAAGAUUUGAAUAACUUUCAUAAUAAUUUUUUAAUAUCAUGAAUUAAUUAUUUGAAUUUGAUUAGUUACUAAGUGGUGCAUAAAUAAUGUUUUUAAAAUGCUAAAAUCAUAUUUAGAUUAGUCCAACGAUUUAGAAAGGUUUAUUCACCUUAAUUUACAUUAAAAUUUAUCUUCAUUUUUAUUAUUAUUUUAAAGUAUUAUAAGUUUUAUCAAUUUUAAUUCACAUCAAGAAAAUAUAAUUUUUAAUUAAAACAAGAUUCUAAUAAUAUUUUAUUAAUUAAACAUGAUUCUUUUUAUAUAUAUUAAUUUUCGAUGCUUAACCUUUAGCCUAUGCAUGUUUGUAUAACAUCAUAAUUUAAAUAAUCUUUAAAAAUUAAAUAAGUGAAUAAGCUUUCAUGUAUGCAUUUUUUCUCAGUGCAAACAUGAUUUUUUACCAUAAGAAACUCAGCCAGUAUAAUUAAUUAGAAGAGAGAAAUUCUCCAUCUAAUAAAAAGAAUGAACUUACGCCUUCGACCACAUUUUUUCCUCCGCAUCUCAUCACAGAGAUUUGUUAGACAUGCUUCAAGAAUAUCACUCUUAUUGCAGAAAAUUAUGGUACCACAUACCUAGUCGGGUGUCUGAAAAGCACCAAGAUCAUGAAAUUAAACCAAGAAAAUAUAUAAAUAUCAAUGAGAAAUAUUCAGGAGUGAUUUAUUAAAGUCAAUAAAUUUGUCAAAAAGAAAGCUAGCAAAAUGGAUAGGAGUUUGGUCCGUCCCUUACAUGUUUACAUACUGCAUCCCAAGUGUGGCACCCCCAAAAAAAAAAAAAAAAACAAAAGUUUGUUUUUGCGACAUUCGACUGGCGAUUUUCGUUUUGUUCUGUUUUGCUGAUUUGGUUCUUUGGAGUUGCCACCUAGUAUUUUGAUCACUAGGAACCCUAACUGGUCUUUCAGAGGUUCUAAGGUAAGGGACUGGUUGCGUAAAGGGAAGGUAUUAGCACCCCUAGUACGCCCUACCUAAGGUAAGCUGCUUGGUGUUUGGUUUGCCUUAUAAUUGCUAUGGUGUUGGUAUUUUUUUAGGCUCGUCAAUUGAUUUUGGAUAGAAAUCUAAGGAGAUUCCAUGUGCUUUAAAAGCUCAUUUUUCCCUUAGUAUUUCAAAAGUUUACGACUCAUAAAUCGUGGGAUAAUAAAAAAAAAUUAAAUUUUGAAAUGUCCUCGAUUAUAAUCAAGGCUUCUUUCAAGAAUGUGUGCGGAUUUAUUACUCCCAAUAAUAUUUUGGAUAUUCAUCCUUUUAAGGAUUUCUUUAUCCAAACAUUAGCGGUAAAUAAUAAAUAAAUUCCUUUUCCAAAAAUAAGAUUUUUAUAGUUUUUUGAAUAUUGGCCAAUACCCUUUGGAAUUUUACAAACACGUUGUAAAAUCCAGAAAUGCAAGAAAAUAAUUUGUGUUUAAGAAAUUUAUGCGAAAACACACUUUCGAAGCUUCCAAUAUAUUUGUUUUAUAAAAAAAAAGAAUAUUCAAAACAUGUUAGAGUAUUGGCCGUAUGCAACACGCAAGAAAAUAUAUAUUUUUUAAAACAAUAUUUUUUUUUGACGAAAUCGGGUAUUUUUAAUACUGAAUUUGUAUCUCCACAGCAUAAAAAUACAAACUAAUAUUAAGUCAUUAAAAAGAUGUACGAAAAAAAUCAACAAUAUUUUUAAGGAAUUUUUAGAAUUUUUUGAAAGCAAAAAAAAAAUUUAUCUUUGAAAAUUUUGGGUGCCACGACGAAAAUCAGAUAUUUUAAAUACUGAAUUUAUACCUCCACAGUAUAUAAAAAAAAUACAAACCCCCUUAGAAAUAUAUAUAUAUAUAUAUAUAUAUAUAUAUAUAUAUAUAUAUAUAUAUAUAUGAAAGGAAAAUAACAACAUUUUUUUUUAGAUUUUUUAUAAAUAUUAUAUAUAUAUAACAUAUACACACAUAUAUAUAAUAUAAUAAUAUAAUAUAAUUAUAUAUUAAUUAUUAAGGGGGCUGGGCCGGCCCAACUAACUGGGCCGGGCUCAGCCCCACAAGUCAUUGGGCCGGGAUCGGCCCAAGAAAGUGACUGGGCCGAUCUCGGCCCAAGAAAGGUAACUGGGCCGAUUCGGCCUAAGAAAAAUAACUGGGCCGAUUCCGGCCCAAUAAAAAAUAACUGGGCUGAUUCCGGCCCAAGAAAAAAUAACUUGGUCUGGGCCGGACCCGACCCAGACCACCGGGUUGGGCCAGAAUCCUUCUGGCCCAUAUACAUGUUUCUGGGCCAGAACCCGUCUGGCCCAGAAGAGGAAACAGAACGGGGGGGGGGGAAUUAAUUCCCCCCCCGUCCCCUGCAUGCAGAACAAUUCUGCAUGCAGGGGACGAAACCUAACAGAAGAAAGAAAACAAAAUGCAGGGGAGAGAGAGCGUACCUGGCGAGGCUGGAGACGGUGGUUGGCUGACGGGGCUAUGGUGGCGUGGCUCGUGGAUGGCGGUUCCGGGCGGCGUUGCUGCCGUUUCCAACAGUGGCGAAAAAUUCUUCUUCCUCCCUUCUCCUUCGGUUUUUUUUCGUUCUCAGUUGCUGUUUGUUCUCGGUUUGGUUUUGGUUUUUUUGGUUUCGGUUUCCUUCUUCUCGGUUUGUUUCUGUUCUUCUCUCUCUCUUCUGGUCGCUCUCUCUCUCUUUCUCUCCUUGGGUCUCUCGGGUUUUUCUUCUUUUUUUUUUUUUUCUCUUCGGUUUUCUUCUAUAUUUAUAGGGGCAGAACGGGUGGGGGACCAUGGUUAGUGCGCCUUCAAUCACGCAUGGCUGGUCGGUUCUUUCGGUGGUGGUGGUGGGGGCGAGGAGAGAGACGCGAGAGGUUUUUUUCUUUCGUCUUCUGUUCUGCUAAAACGGGGGGAAGGAGGAAGAUGAACAGUGUCGUUCAAAACGACACCGUUCUGAUCUUCCUCCUUUUUUUUUUUUUUUUUUUAUAUAUAUGAAACGGCGUCGUUUUGGGUAAAACGCGCCGUUUCAUUUAAAUGGCUAAACUUCAAAUCAGUCCUUCAAAUUCGGUCCCCGCCCCUCUUGUUGGCCGCCUUUUUUACUUUGGUCCUUGGUCUCUGAGUUAUGCAAUUGAGCCCCUAAUUGAUCAAUAAACUUCCAAUUUCUUCAAUUAAGCCCCUGAAACAAUUCCAAACAGCCCCCUCUAUCUUUGCGCCUUCUCCAAAUUGGUCCCUGGUUUCGGAUUUUCAUAAUUAAGUCCCUAAUUGGCCCUUAAACUUCAAUAUUUAUGCAAUUGAGCCCCUGUUUUGACCCAAUAAAUUCCUAAAAAAUAUAUUUUGGCCCCAGAACUUAAAUUUCUCCAAAUUAAAGCCCAAAUUGACUUAAAAAUCAAUUUUUCUUGGAAUCAAAUCUUCUAUAAAUUCAAAUAAAAAUCCAAUUAAAUCCAUAAAAAUCCAAUUAAGUCCAUAAAAAUCCAAUUAAGUCCAUAAACAUCCAAAUUUGGGCUUUUCUCCUCAAAAUUCCAAUUUUCCUUCUCAAUAGGGCUUUCAUCCUUCAAGAAUAUACUGUCAAAAAUUUAAUCCUUGUAUUUUUAAAUUCCUUGACCAAUUUUCUGACUGUUUUCCGAGCGCUUCUGCCUCCUGUUAUUUUUCUAACCUCUUUUGGCUAUUUAUUUUAUUUUUCAUGGGGACCCAAAAAUGGGUUACAACAGAUGCCCCCUCUUUAUAAUACUUACGGAGCAUGGGUUUUGCGCAGUAAGUGUUAUAAAGAUAAACCCAAAACGGAACUCCCGAAACUGAUCUGGUCGAAGCUUGAUUGAUCUGAAACUUUGUCCUUUAUAACAAUCCUCCUUAGCUCCAAAAAUCAUGAUCGAAACUUAGUCAUCUCGAGAUCUUUAUCCAGCGAUCCUCUGAAUUCUUAUUUUAGUUUGAUCAACAUGGAAAUCCAUCCGAGAUCCCAUCUAGUGAUCUCCUUUAACCUGGAAUCCCAUCUGGCGAUUCCUUUACUCAUAACCAAUACAAAAAAUGCGUGUGUGGCUCAUUAUGAUGGGUGACCUACCCGAAAAAAGGAAAGAGUGGUCUCAUUCUUUGGGUGACCUACCCAGAAAAAAAAAUGAGAAGGUCUCAUUCUUAUGGUGACCUACCCAGAAAAUAUGGUCCAUUGUGAUGGGUGACCUACCCAGAAAAAGGAAGAGUGGUCUCAUUCUUUGGGUGACCUACCCAGGGGAAGGAAUGGCCAUUCUUAUGGGUGACCUACCCAGAAAAAAAAAAUGGAGAAUGGUCUCAUUCUUAUGGGUGACCUACCCAGAAAAUAUGGUCUCAUUGUGAUGGGUGACCUACCCAGAAAAAAGGAAGAGUGGUCUCAUUCUUUGGGUGACCUACCCAGGGAAGGAAUGGCCUCAUUCUUAUGGGUGACCUACCCAGAAAAAAAAAAUGGAGAAUGGUCUCAUUCUUAUGGGUGACCUACCCAGAAAAUAUGGUCUCAUUGUGAUGGGUGACCUACCCAGAAAAAAAAUGGAAGUGGUCUCAUUAUGGGUGACCUACCCAGAAAAAAUGUGAUGAGUCUCUUGUGAUGGGCGACCUACCCAAAAAAAAAUAUGAAGUGCGUCUCAUUGUAAUGGGUGACCUACCCAGAAAAAUGUUGGUGAGGGCUCAAAGGCACUCGAAAAGAGGUAGGGUUUAGAAAACGCACUACCCGAGAAGUGAGGGCUCAAACGGCGCAUUCGAAAAGAGGUAGGGUUAGAAAACGCACUACCCAAAAAGUGAGGGCUCAAACAGCGCACUCGAAAAGAGGUAGGGUUAGAAAACGCACUACCCAAAAAGUGAGGGCUCAUACAGCGCACUCGAAAAGAGAUAGGGUUAGAAAACGCACUACCUGAGAAAUGGUGAUGAAAUCCCGAUCUGACAAAUGUUGAAAGCAAUAUAUUAUGGUUAAUAUGCAUGUAUGUUUUUGUUACCUAUCUUGGAAACAUAGGUCCCCCUUUCGUCGUAAACCUCUUUGCUCUUGUUUCAAGCUUUUCUCAUGAACCGAAAUAUCCUUCAUGUCCUUUUAGUGAAGAGAUCUUUGGUUCCUUAUGGGGCCCUUUCUUGCUCCAUUGAGUUUUGCGCCAAAGGAAAAAAUUGGUUUUGUUCAUGAAAACUGAAACUUUUAAUGCAAUUAGCAAAUUUUAUAAAAGAUGCUUUUUUAGAAGUUUUUAUUAUGAUACCUCUUUUUGAGCUUGGGUUUACUAUAGACCCUUAUGUGCACUUCGUGCACCUUUUGCCCCCUAGUGUGAUGUGCAACUAUAUGUCAAGCAGAUUUGAUUUGUUUCAUCAAUUGAUGGAGCCAUCUUCUUAGUCAUGCCAAAAAAAAGUUCUUUUAAACAAAAGAUUUCAAAUGUUAUGAGAUCAUAUGUUAUAUAUAUAUAUAUAUAAAAGGACUCUUUACAAAGAGAAUUCAUGGCCGAAAUUUAUUUUAUUGAACGGGAAAUUACGAAAUACAUCAAGCGUAGUAUUUCUUUACAGAGUCGGAAUUCACAGGCCUAGCUAGAUCUUCUCCAUCCAUUCUAGACAGUAACAAAGCUCCUCCUGAGAAUGCUUUCCUCACCACGUACGGCCCCUCGUAGUUAGGUGCCCAUUUACUCUGAUCUUCUCCAGGUAAAGGUAAUAUUUUCUUUAGUACAAGAUCUCCUUCGUGGAAUCCUCGAGGUCGAACCUUCUUGUCAUAGAUUUAGCCAUCCUUCUUUGGUAGAGUUGAUGAUGACAGAUCGCGGCUAUCCUCUUUUCACUGAUCAGAUUCAACUGUUCAUAUCUAACCUUUGCCCAUUCUACCUCUUCCAGCUCAGAGUCUAACAACACUCUCAAUGAUGGGAUUUCCAUUUCUAAAGGCAUCACCGCCUCCAUUCCAUAUACCAACAUGUACGGGGUGGCUCCUGUUGAGGUUCGAACUGCGGUGCGAUAUGCAUGAAGGGCAAAUGGCAACAUCUCAUGCCAAUCCUUAUAGGUGACUACCAUCUUCUGAAUAAUCUUUUUGACAUUCUUGUUAGCAGCUUCUACCGCACCAUUCAUCUUUGGUCUAUAUGGCGAAGAAUUGGAAUGCUUGAUUUUCCAUUUAGUGCAGAGCUCUAUUAUCAUCUUGCCGUUGAAAUUCUGGGCGUUAUCAGUUAUAAUCUUUUCUGGUGGACCAUACCGACAUAUCAAAUCUCUCUCAAUAAAUCUUCACCACUUUUUGCGUCACAUGAGCAAAUGACCCAGCUUCUACCCAUUUUGUGAAGUAGUCGAUAGCCACGAGAAUAAACCUAUGACCAUUGCUGGCUUUUGGGUUUACCGGUCCAAUCACAUCAAUUCCCCACAUCGCGAAAGGCCAUGGAGAUGUUAAAUUAAACAGAGGAGCCGGAGGAGCAUUGAUUUUGUCACUGUAUACUUGGCACUUAUGACAUUUCCGGACAUAAUCGAUACAAUCCUUCUCUAAUGUCAUCCAAAGUACCCGGCUCUUUGUAUCUUCCUGGCCAUCAUGUCCACUAGCAUGAGUUGAGCAAAUCCCUUCAUGGACUUCCCGUACUGUGCUUUUUGCCUCAAAUUCAUCCAAACAUCUCAACAAAGUCCCGUCAGAUGAUUUCUUAUACAAAAUCUCCCCAUCAAGAUAAAAAUCCAUUGCCAACCUUCUCAAGGUCUUCUUGUCGAUUUUGGAUGCCCCCAUGGGAUAUGCCUGGUUUUGGAUGAAAUUCUUGAUAUCAUAGUACCACGGGUUUCCAUCCACUUCUCUUUCGACUGAGCAACAAUGAGCGGGUUAUUUCUGAUAUUGAUGUGUACUGGCUGUACCUUGUGCCCAAAGUCUAUCUUGGCCAUAGAUGCUAGUGUGGCCAAAGCAUCUGCAAACUGGUUCCCUUCCCUUCCCAGAUGGGUGAACUCUAUUUCCUCAAAUUCUUUAGCUAGCUUAGACAGGUAUUCUUGGUAAGGCCUUAACUUCUCUUCUUUGGUUUGCCAUUCUCCUUUUACUUGGCAAAUGAUCAGCAUUGAAUCUCCAUACACAUCUAUCUUUCUUAUGUUCAUCUCUAAAGCAGCCUCUAAACCAAGAAUGCAAGCUUCAUACUCAGCCGUGUUGUUGGUGCACCCGAACUGCAGCUUAACUGAAACCGGAUACUGCUUCUUAUCAGGAGAGAUUAUCACUGCCCCCGCUCCGUUACCACAUACAUUUACAGCACCAUCAAAGUACAUAACCCACCAAUCUGAUUUCUCUUCCUCGAUUGCAAACACAUCUUCAUCGGAAAGUCAAAGUUUAACGGCUCAUAAUCUUCCAUAGCAUGGUCAGCCAGGUGAUCGGCAAUAACACUCCCUUUUACGGCUUUCCUUGUCAUAUAUACUAUGUCAUACUCAGCCAAAAGAACUUGCCAUCUUGCAAUUCGGCUAGAUAGAUAAGGCUUUUCACAAAUGUACCUUAAGGGUCUAACUUGGAAAUUAACCAUGUAGUGUGAUACAACAUAUACUGACGCAAUCUCUUUGUAGCCCAUGCUAGUGCGCAGCACAGCUUUUCAAUCACAGUAUACCUAGACUCAUAUUCCGUGAACUUCUUGCUUAGGUAAUAAAUGGCCCUUUCCUUCCUUCCGGUUUCAUCAUGUUGCCCAAGCACACAUCCCAUUGCUGUUUCGGUUACUGUUAGGUAUAAAAUCAAUGGCCUUUCUGGUACGGGAGGAACAAGCAGAGGUGGAUUUAGCAAGUACUGCUUGAUUUUCUCAAAAGCUUUAUCACACUCUUCAUUCCAUAUUCCAGGGUUCUUCUUCCUCAACAAACGAAAGAUCGGGUCACAAGUCGCGGUUAAAUGGGAUAUAAACCGAGCGAUGUAAUUCAACCUUCCUAAGAAACCUCUCACCUCCUUCUCAGUCUUGGGGGGUGGCAUAGAUUGAAUAGCUUUUACUUUUUCAGGAUCCACUUCUAUCCCUUUGUCACUCACCACAAACCCCAACAGCUUACCGGAUUUCACCCCGAAUGAACACUUUGCUGGGUUAAGCCUCAACUUAUAUUUCCUUAAUCUUUCAAAUAAUUUCUUCAAUACUUGGACAUGAUUCUCUCCCUCUUUAGAUUUAGCAACCAUGUCAUCCACGUAUACUUCAAUCUCUUUGUGCAUCAUGUCGUGAAACAAAGUCACCAUAGCCCUUUGGUAAGUGGCCCCAGCAUUCUUUAAACCAAAUGGCAUGACUUUGUAGCAAAAGGUUCCCCAUGGUGUUACAAAGGUCGUCUUCUCCCUAUCCUCUGGCGCCAUUCUUAUCUGAUUGUAGCCUGAAAACCCAUCCAUGAAGGAAUAUGUGGAGCUGCGUGCUGCAUUAUCAACUAACAUAUCUAUGUGUGGUAAAGGGAAAUUAUCUUUAGGGCUAGCCCGGUUUAAAUCCCUAAAGUCCACGCAAACUCUGAUUUUACCUUCCUUUUUGGGUACCACCACUAUGUUUGACACCCAUUGUGGAUACUUCACUACUUCCAAAAAACCAGCGUCCCAUUGUUUUUCAAUUUCCGCCUUUACUUUGAUUAAGACCUCCGGAUGAGUUCUCCUUAACUUCUGCUUAAUCGGCUUGCAUCCUUCCAUCAGUGGUAUUCUAUGCACUACAAUGUCCGUAUCCAGACCAGGCAUAUCCUCGUAGGACCAGGCAAAGACAUCCACAUAAUCCUUGAGCAGUGCAAUCAACUCUUCCUUUGCUUCGAGGGUGAUCAAAGUCCCUAUCUUCAGCUCUCGCUUGAUUUCUUCAUUGCCUACAUUUAUGGUUUCAAGUUCCUCUUUAGCGGGCCUCCAAGCCUGUUCGUGUUGUUCUAUUAAUUUUGUGAAUUCCCAUAUGUUUUCCUCUCCCAUUCCUCAUCUUCUACAGCCACUAUGUAUUCUUUAAAUUUUGGCCAUUCAUUCUCAAUGUAAAGUGCAGGUGUUGUUGUGGAGGAUCCGCUUUCAGAGUUCCUGAAAGCGGAAAGUGAUGUGUAAAUGCAUAGUAAGACAUCAAGAUGAAUUUUGAAAAUGCAUGAUCUCAUUAAAAAUAAAAGAUUGGCUCACAACAAAAUAAAAUCUCAUUGACAUCUUGAGCCUCGAUUGUCAAUGAAUAAAAACAAAACAGAAAAAGGCAAACAACAUAGAUAAAAAUAUAAUCCAACCAUCAUUGUUGAUUACAUUUUAAAAACCAAUGGAGCUUCUUGGGUCUCCCAAUUCUGGAACUUCUCCCCUUCGGCUAGCUUCCGGACAAAAGUCUUGACGGUGACUUCUUCCAAAGUGUGGAUGGUCAAUUGUGGCAGCUCUUCAAUCCUCCUUUCGACUCGAUUUUCUCAGCAAUGUCCUUGACUUGAUUUUCCUCCAGAGUGUUUAUGUUCAUUGAAGAAAGCUUCUGAAAGAGGUCUCCAUGUCCCCCAUCAGGUUGUAUCACAUAUGCGGCCUUUGGAAAUGAAAUCCUGAUUGGAGGGAUGGCUAAGUUUUCUUCUACAGGCUUCCUUCCUUCCAUCCUAGCCAUUCUCUUCUCCCUUCUUGCACCAGCAGCUCGUUUGUAAUCCUCUUUCUUGGGCUUAUAUCCAAGCCCAAACCUCUGUUCUGCAGCUUUCAAUUUGAUUAUACCCCUCCAUUCAGGCCUUCUUUGCUCCAUAUCGUAUGGGAAAGGAAUCUUGUUUUUCAAAAAGAUUUUAGCGGCCAUUUUAGUGGCUUCAGAGAUUUCUGGCUUCCUCAACACAGUGUUCUCGGGCACCCACUCGGUAUUCACAAUCUCAAAUGCAUGAAGGUUUCCGUCCCUACAAUCUUCUGCUUCAAUGAAUGGAACCGCCACAUUUCUUACCAUCGAUAUAGUCUCCUCAGCCUUAACAGUAACCAGGACACCGUUGGCAAUGUACUUUAAACAUUGAUGUAGCGAAGAGGUGACAGCUCCCGCAGAAUGUAUCCAUGGCCUCCUAACAACAUGCUAUAGGAAGGGUGGAUAUCCAUCACUUGAAGGGUUACUAGAAAGACUUGUGGACCCACAGCUAGUUCAACAUCAAUUGACCCUACAACUGGCCUUGAUGAGCCAUCAUAUGCUCUUGCCGUUAUCACACUGGGUUGCAUAUGUGAGGGAUCUAUUGGCAUUUCAUCCAGCACAUGCCUUGGUAACACAUUCAGGGCCGAGCCGUUAUCAAUGAGAACCUUGCCGACGAGGCAAUCCUUGCAUCGGACCGUGACAUACAAGGGCUUGUUAUGUCCAGUUCCUUCAGCAUCGAGUUCAUCUUCCGUGAAAUACAAGUAAUUGGCAGCAUGGAUCCUCCCUACUAGAUCCAUAGUCUUUUGCUCAUAUCUUGGGGCACAUAGGCCUCAUUCAGUACUUUUUGCAAAGCAUUACGAUGUGGCUCCGAGCUGAGUAUUAAAGACAUGAUGGAGAUCUUAGCAGGGGUCUUUUCAACUGAUCCACUAUACUGUACUCACUAUGCUUCAUCAGUUUCAAGAACUCAUUUGUUUCUUCCUCAGUCACAGGUUUAUUCACCUCAAACUCUUUAUCGAGGUCCAGCACCUCCUUGCCUUUAGCCUUUCUUUGUCUUUCUAGCUCUUCAGGUGUGUAACAACGACCACUCCGAGUUAGCCCACUUAUCUCCGUCGAACAGCGGCAAAGGAGCUUCAAUAUUCGAGGUAUAACCAUAAUCUCCAGGCAUCGCUCCAUAGUUUACUUUGCUUGCAUAGGAGGGCCUAGUUAAUACCAGUUUUGAGCGACCAUUAGCUGUUGAUUGGAUUCUACAUUUCUCUAUCAUCCUACCUCUUCAUUGUCACUUAUGUCCUCAAUCCUCAACUCUCCUAGAGCCAGCAUUCUUGCAACUUUUUGAUGAAAUUCAUGCAUUCAUCAAUGUGAUGCCCUUCCUUUUUAUGGAAAGGGCAAAAGUUACUUUCCCCUGUGCAGUACUCAGUCGUUUCUUCCAAAUGUCCAGACUGUACCAACAUCAGUAUAGCUUGGCCAUGGUCACUUUCAACACCCUCUUUUUGCUACCAAUCUCCAUGGUAUUCACUCCUCCCCUACCAUCAACAUGUUUAGGUAAAGGGUUUGAAUUCUGAUUAGGUGAAUCCUCAAAAGUGACCCAUCCCACUUUGAUCAGUUGUAACCUUUCUUUUAAAAGCAAAGCAAGCCUCAAUGCUAUGGCCUGCGUGACCAGCAUGGUAUUCACAAGUUACCUCGGGGUUGUACCAGGCAGGGAAAGGUGGCUGCAUAGGUGGUAUGGGUAGGGGAGCUAUCUGCCCAAUACUCAACAGCUUGGCAUACAACUCUUUCAAGGUUAUUGGUAAAGGAGGUAGUUGUUCUUCUGAUGGUUGCUUAUCCUUUCUUUGGUAAUUGUGGUGGUUAUUUGCUGGGAAUUUUACUGGAUUGGGCUGGUUUGGAGUGGGGGGUUUGGAAAAGUUAAUACUAGUGACUCGAGGGGUAGGUAUUUGAUAGUUUUUGCUUCUCUUUCGAGGUUGUUCACCUCAAUUUCUUUCUUCCUUCCAAUGAAACCUCUCUUCUCUAGAGGUUCUGCAAUUCUUCCACUUCGGAUCCCUUGUUCAAUCCUCUCGGCGAUCCGCACGACAUCAUAGAAAUGUUGUGCUGAACUACCCAUAAGGUGUUCAUAGUAUGGAGCCCUGAAAGUAUUGGCAAACAAAGUCACCAUUUCUGUCUCUAUCAGCGGAGGUUGUACAUUGAUAGCUUGGUCUCGCCACCUUUGAGCAUAAGCCCUCACGGACUCUUGACUUCCUUUCUCCAUGCUAAUCAGACUGGUCCUAUCAGGAGCAAUCUCUAGGUUAAACUUGUAUUGCUUUAAGAAAGCGUCCGCCAAGUCUGUCCACUUCCUGAUCCUAAUAUUGUCUAACCUCAUAUACCAACUGAGGGCCGAUCCGGUCAGACUAUCCUGGAAGAAGUAAAUUAACAUUUUGUCGUCGUGGAUAACCUCUGCCAUUUUGUUAUAGUAGGAGCGGAGAUGGGUCUUCGGGCAUUCCAUCCCAGUAUACUUAACAAACUCCGGCACUCUAAACUUCUUUGGAAUGACAAUAUUAGGUACUAAACAUACCUCAGCGGCCCUAAUUGGGUCAAACAAAUCAUUUCCUUCAAUUGCCCUUAGCCUCUCUUCUAGGGCAGUCCACUUAUCAUCUCCUUCAUGAUUAGAGAAUUUAAAGUCAUGUGGAUCUUCGUUUGUUAAAUCCAUUGUAAUAGGGAUUUGGAUGGGCCGAGCAGGACUCUGCUUAGUUGGUGUAUUUGCCCCUAUGUUUAUAGGUGCGACAGGAAUUUGAGCUGCUGCUGGUGCUUCAUUAGGUUGAGUAGAUGUUCCCUCUCCAUCUCUGGCUCUUAAUAAUUGCUCUAACAUACUUGUUAAGUGCGCCACAUCAUUCCGAACUCCUUCGAGUUCUCUUUGGUACUGAGAUUCUGGUUGUGACCUUCCUUCGUUUUCCAUUCUUGCUCUUUGUCGAGUGUUGUGGAUUCUAGGAGGGGGACCUAUGUUUCUUAAUCUGCAAAUGCAUGCAUAGAUGUAUGAGAAAAUGUAUUGUGAUGGAUGCAUGAUGAUGCAUUAUUGGGUAUGGAUGCAUCCUUUUUUGUGAACGAAUAACAACCAUCACAUUAUAAGCCUUCUCUUGUCACAUUGCUUUGAUAGGAGUUCUGCCUUUCGAGUCGUUUGCUUGAAUCAUGUUCACCAAGAGACAGAUUUUUGCAUAAGAAGAUGGGUCAACGCCCUUUUCAUUAAUGCUUGGAUAAAAAUACAUUUAGAAAUAAAAGAAAUACAACAUGCUAAUCCCUUUCCUCCCUAAACUCUUUGGCCAAAGGUAAGAAAGCAAAACCACGGUUCUCAAUCUUCCCUAGAAAGGCAUCGGUUUCAGCUAGGCUUCGGCGAUAGCGAAUGAUGUCUCCCCCCACAUUCCGCGAAUUGAUUCUGACCAUUCGAGCAUGUGCAGCAGCUUCGUCCAUUUGCUCAUCUGUUUUGGUCAUUUUUUCUAUGAGCAACAUGUUGGUUCUGUUUAAAGCAGUGUUGUUGGCGUCGAUUUGAUCUUUGUGCUUCUCCAUUGCUACUAGCUUUUCAUCUAAAUACUUCAACUUUUCUCGUUCUUUGUCAAGCUUUAUCCUCAUGACUUUUAUCUCAUUCUUCUUGACUGCUAACUCUGCUUUAACAUCCUCGAAUCCUCCCUUUUCGCUUUCCAACUCCAUAUAUUUCUUAUUCAAAUCCUCAUACUUCCUAAUCCUAUCCAUCAGCUCGAAUUGCACUUGUGCAAAUUUUUCUUGGUAAUAUUCUGCACUUUCUUGGCAAUCGCUAAAGUCCAUCUCCAUUGCUUGAAGUUCAGAGCAACUUUGCAUCCAAUCCAAACUCAUCCCUUUAAGCUCCUUCUCACUUCCUUCCUUAGCAAUCUUCUCCUCAACCAACUUUAACUCCAGCUUUGUUAUUUUCUCAUCUCUAGACUGUAUUUGCUCAUCUAGAAAUGUUCUCAUUUUAUCCUGUUCUAGCAUCAUUUCUUCCAACAUUGCUUUGUCUUUUCUGCUCUUGCUCAAUUCUAUUCGUAGUCUCUCCACUUGCCUUCUCAAGUCUUCUUCAUUACUAACUCUCUUUCUCUUGAUAGGCUCCUCUUCAGUUGGAGAAGAUUUGACUUCUACACAAGGCAUGGCUGAAGCAGCUGAAUCAUCUUCAAUGUUCACCCUUUUUCUCUUAAUAGGCUCCGCUACAUCUUGAGGAGAUUUAGCUUCUACGCGAGGGGUGGCUGAAGUGGCUGAGUCUCUCCAUUUUACAUAUCCUUCGCUCACACUUGGAUCUCUUAACCCUUCCAUCUCCACCAACACUAGAUGCUUCCAAUCUUGCUUGAUGAUCUCCAAAACCUCUUCUGCCAUGGGAUCUUUGAACAAACCAGAGAAUUGAGCAAUUCCCAUAGUCCUGGGAACGAACUGCAUGCCCCCAAGUUGUCUUACCACUAAGGCAGGAGCAUAACUCACAUAACCCGUGAUCCCCACCAAUGGUACCCAACGCCUUUGUCCACAACUCAUUAGGACCUUCACUGACGUUACCCAUGGGGCCCUCCACUUAAACUCGCUAUUAGGUAAACCUUCUAAUUUAUCAACCCAACCCUGGUUGUCUAGAUCUCCCCAUUCUUCUUCUUCUACUAACUUGAGGGGUUUUUGGGUGAACCACCAAAAAUUAUUGAAGACAGGUUUCUUUGUCUCGAUAUGGCUAACCAUCCAAAUAUACAACAGUUGCGUGCAGCAUCUCAUUGCUCCUUUUCCGGCCCUCCUACAAUGGUUAAGUGUCAAAAUUGUUUCGGCUAAAAUAGCAGCCACUGGAUUGAUUCGUGUAUUCUCAUAUUCCACGUAAGCAGCAGCGGCCUCCAAACUCACUAAACCAAUCUGACUUGGGAACAACACAAGGCCAAAUAUACCUAGGGCAAUCAAUCUCUCUUUUUCUACUCCUGACUUCUUUUCCAAUUCUAACAUCCUCCAUUUCAAACCGGUACCAUUCUUCUCUUGAAACUUUUCCAAGUUGGAGAUUCUGAGCAGCUUUGACAGUUCAGGGAUGAUCUUGUCGGAUCUUAAAGGAGAAUAAAUCCGAUACAGGUCGUUGGGAAACUCGGUCAACAAUCCAUAUUCAUCAACCGUGGGGCACAAGUCUGUUAUAACCCAUUUUUGGGUCCCCAUGAAAAAUAAAAUAAAUAGCCAAAAGAGUUUAGAAAAAAUAACAGAAGGCAGAAGCGCUCAGGAAACAGUCAGAAAAUUGGUCAAGAAAUUCAAAAAUACAAGGAUUAAAUUUUUGACAGUAUAUUCUUGAAGGAUGAAAGCCCUAUUGAGAAGGAAAAUUUGAAUUUUGAGGAGAAAAGCCCAAAUUUGGAUGUUUAUGGACUUAAUUGGAUUUUUAUUUGAAUUUAUAGAAGAUUUGAUUGCAAGAAAAAUUGAUUUUUAAGUCAAUUUGGGCUUUAAUUUGGAGAAAUUUAAGUUCUGGGGCCAAAAUAUAUUUUUUAGGAAUUUAUUGGGUCAAAUCAGGGGCUCAAUUGCAUAAAUAUUGAAGUUUAAGGGCCAAUUAGGGACUUAAUUGUGAAAAUCCGAAACCAGGGACCAAUUUGGAGAAGGCGCAAAGAUAGAGGGGGCUGUUUGGAUUUGUUUCAGGGGCUUAAUUGAAGAAAUUGGAAGUUUAUUGAUCAAUUAGGGGCUCAAUUGCAUAAAUCAGAGGCCAAGGACCAAAGUGAAAAAGGCGGCCAACAAGAGGGGCGGGGACCGAAUUUGGGGACUGAUUUGAAGUUUAGCCAUUUAAAUGAAACGGCGCGUUUUACCCAAAACGACGCCGUUUCAUUAAAAAAAAAAAAAAAAAAAAAAAAAACAGAACGGUGUCGUUUUGAACGACACUGUUCAUCUUCCUCCUUCCCCCCGUUUUAACAGAACAGAAAACGAAAAAAUUCGAAAAUCUUCCCGCGCCUCUCUCUCUCCUCGCCCCCACCACCUUUAGCAUUGGCCGACCAGCCGUUGCACCGCACUAACGAUGGUCCCCCACGGUUCUGCCCCUAUAAAUAGGGAAGAGACGGAAAGAAAAAAAAAAAAAACCGAAGGGAGGAGAGAGAGAGAGGAGGCCGAAGAGAGAGAGAGAACCGAACACCGAAGAGAGAAGGAGCCGCAGCGCCGCCCGGGAAGCCACGCCACCGCAGCACCGCCUCCUCCACGCCAGGUCACCUCUUCCCCCCCUCUCGUUAGUUUUUUAUUUUUUUCCCUGCAUGCAGAAUGAACAUUCUGCAUGCAGGGAGGAGGGGGGAAUUAAUUCCCCCCUGUUAUGUAGCUGGGCCAGGUGGAUCCUGGCCCAGCAUCAUUUUUUUGGGCCAGACUAAGUCUGGCCCGGCCUUGUAUCUGACGGGCCAGACCAGGUCUGGCCCAUACCAGCUCUCUGGGCCAAGUCCGGCCCAGAUAUUUGGGCCGGCCCAGCCCGAAUUAUUUUUUAUUUUAUAUAUAUAUAUUAUAUUAUAUGUGUGUAUAUAUGUAUAUAUAUAAAAUAUAAUAAUAAUAAAAAAAUAUUUUGAAAAAUCUUAAAAAAAUAUUGUUGAUUUUUCUGCAUAUUUUUGUCAAAAAUGUUUUAAUUUUGGUUUGUAUGUUUAUACUGUAAAGAUACAAAACCAGUGUUAUAAAUACCCGGUUUUCGUCAAAACAUCAAAGAUUUUCAGAAUAAAAAAUGUUUUUGCUUUCAAAAAAAAUUCUAAAAAGUCCCUAAAAAUGUUGUUGAUUUUUCUGCAUAUUUUUAUCAAAAUGGUUUAAUUUUGGUUUGUAUUUUUAUACCGUAAAGAUAUAAAACCAGUGUUAUAAAUACCCGGUUUUCGUCAAAAUAUCAAAGAUUUUCAGAAUAAAAAAUAUUUUUGCUUUCAAAAAAUUUCUAAAAAUUCCCUAAAAAUGUUAUUGAUUUUUCUGCAUAUUUUUAUCAAAAUGGAUUAAUAUUGGGUUGUAUUUUUAUACCGUAAGGAUACAAGCUCAGUAUUAAAAUACCCGAUUUUCGUCAAAGCAUAAAAAAAAUAAUAUUUUCCAAAAAUUGUUUUUGUUUUAAAAUACGGCCUAGUCUCUUCAAAUAUAUAUAUAUAAAUAUUAUAACAUCGUAUUUUCACACAACAAAGAAAAUUUUCAAAAACAAUAUAUGUAUUAACAUGCAUUUUGGCUUUAAUAACCAGUUUAUUCAAGCCAUGAGAACUAGGCCAAUAUUUCAAAAAUUCUAAAAAAUCUUUUUGUUUUAUUUUAGUAUUUGGGAUUACGAAUUUAUACGUAAAACGUAUUCCUAAGUAUUAUUAAUAAAAUUUUGGUAUGGACGUUAUAACGGUUAAGAUUUUUACCCGAUAAGAUAAAGAUCUCCUUACCGAGGAGGAUUUUUCUUAAACUAUAGACAGACCAACCACUAGGAAAACACAAUAACACUUUAGUUUUUUUUUUAUCAGACAUUAAAACAAUGCAGCUUACCUUAGGUAGGGCGUAUUUGGGGUGCUAAUACCUUCCCUUUACGCAACCAGUCUCCGUACCCGAUCUCUAAGACCAGUUAGGUUCCUAGUGACCAAAAUACUAGGUGGCGACUCCAAAGAACCAAAUAAAAAUAAAAUAAACAAAUUUUCGCCAGUCGAACCCGCAAUGGAUGCGUAUAUUUUUUUUGGGGGGGGGUGCGCUCGGUCAACAAUCCAUAUUCAUCAACCGUGGGGCACAAGUCUAUGCUUCCAAAGGAAAAACAUAUGUAGUCUGGAUCCCAAAAAUGAACUAAAGCUCGCACAGCUAGGCUUAAAACUUCUACCUUUGCAAUUUCCAUCAAACGUCCGUAUUUCCUAAAAAAUGCAUCUUUAUCCACAUUUUGAAAAUGAGUCGUUAACUUGUUCACCUCAUUCAAUACGCAAUUCAGGUUCUUGAUUGGUGACAUCUUCUUAGCAUCGCUUCUAAGGCAGUCUCCUUCAGUCAAUUGUGACAGUUCAGAAUUUUUUCCAUAUUCUAAGAUGGAAGAUUUAGUGAUGAUGGCCAUUUCGUUCACAAGUCCUGCAAUUCAAAAUGCAUUGGGGUUUAGACUUUGUUUGGAUGCAAAAGAUAUGUUGGAACAUACACCCUAAGGAUAGGUUCUAAUUUCUCUAUGUGAGACAUAGGGUAGGUUUACUAUUGGGUCUCUAAAAGAGGGUCUCUUGCUGUUCCAGUGAUCAGCCUUCGUAAAGGCGAUAUGGAGGUCUAGCAGAUAGUGGGAUGGUACGUGUACCAAUCACAAUCAGUCUAAACACUCAGCAAAGAGUUGGGGUUUACACAAACUUAAACCUUGACUCAAGUCAUAAGGCAAGCUGCUAGUCCCCCACUUAAACUUAAAGUUACAUGUGUGUGCACUCCAAAACAUAAUAACAAUAAUAAAGUGAUGCAUGACUAUGCCAUGUAUGAUAGAAUGUAAAGAUAUAUGCUAAAGCUUUUAAACAAAGCAUCAUAAAAAAAAAACAAAAACCAAUAACACAUAACAUAAACAAACAAACAAAUCAAGCUUAGUCCAAGGGUCCCCAGUGGAGUCGCCAUCCUGUCGCACCCCCAAAAAAAUAAAAAAAAAAGUUUGUUUUUGCGACAUUCGACUGGCGACUUUCGUUUUGUUCUGUUUUGCUGAUUUGGUUCUUUGGAGUCGCCACCUAGUAUUUUGGUCACUAGGAACCCUAACUGGUCUUUCAGAGAUUCUAAGGUAAGGGACUGGUUGCGUAAAGGGAAGGUAUUAGCACCCCUAGUACGCCCUACCUAAGGUAAGCUGCUUGGUGUUUGGUUUGCUCUAUAAUGCUAUGGUGUAGGUAUUUUUAGGCUCGUCAAUUGAUUUUGGAUAGAAAUCUAAGGAGAUUCCAUGUGCUUUGAAAGCUCAUUUUUCCCUUAGUAUUUCAAAAGUUUGACUCAUAAAUCGUGGGAAAAAAAAAAAUUAAAUUUUGAAAUGUCCUCGAUUAUAAUCAAGGCUUCUUUCAAGAAUGUGUGCGGAUUUAUUAUUCCCAUAAUAUUUUGGAUAUUCAUCCUUUUAAGGAUUUCUUUAUCCAAACAUUAGCGGUAAAUAAUAAAUAAAUUCCUUUUCCCAAAAUAAGAUUUUUAUAGUUUUUUGAAUAUUGGCCAAUACCCUUUGGAAUUUUACAAACACGUUGUAAAAUCCAGAAAUGCAAGAAAAUAAUUUGUGUUUAAGAAAUCUAUGCGAAAACACACUUUCGAAGCUUCCAAUAUAUUUGUUUUAUAAAAAAGAAUAUUCAAAACAUGUUAGAGUAUUGGCCGUAUGCAACACGCAAGAAAAAUAUUUUUUUUUUAAAACAAUAUUUUUUUUUGACGAAAUCGGUAUUUUUAAUACUGAAUUUGUAUCUCCACAAAUAAAAAUACAAACUAAUAUUAAGUCAUAAAAAAUGUACGAAAAAAUCACAAUAUUUUUAAGGAAUUUUAGAAAUUUUUGAAAGCAAAAAAAAAAUUAUCUUUGAAAAUUUCGGGUGCUACGACGAAAAUCAGAUAUUUUAAAUACUGAAUUUAUACCUCCACAGUAUAUAAAAAAAAAUACAAACCCCCUUAAAAAUAUAUAUAUAUGAAAGGAAAAUAACAACAUUUUUUUUUAGAUUUUUUACAAAUAUUUAUAUAUAUAUAACAUAUACACAUAUAUAUAUAAUAAUAAUAUAAUAUAAUUAUAUAUUAAUUAUUAAGGGGCUGGGCCGGCCCAACUGACUGGGCCGGGCUCAGCCCCACAGUGACUGGGCCGAUCGGCCCAGAAAGUGACUGGGCCGACCGGCCCAGAAAGGUACUGGGCCGAUCGGCCCAAAAAUCUGGGCCGACGGCCCAAAAAACUUGGUCUGGGCCGGACCCGGCCCAGACCGCCGGGUUGGGCCAGAAUCCUUCUGGGCCAGAACCGGUCUGGCCCAGAAGAAAAAACGGGGGGAAUUAAUUUCCCCCCCCCCUGCAGCACUGCAUGCAGGAGAGAAAAUAACAGAAGAAAGAAAAAAAAUGCAGGGGAGAGAGUACCUGGCGAGGCUGGAGACGGUGGUUGGCUGACGGGGCUACGGUGGCGCGGCUCGUGGAUGGCGGUUCGGGCGGCGUUGCUGCUGUUUCAGUGGCGAAAAAUUCUUCUUCCUCCCUUCUCCUUCGUUUUUUUUCGUUCUCAGUGGCUGUCCUAUUCUCGGUUUGGUUUUGGUUUUUGUUUCGGUUUCCUUCUUCUCGGUUUGUUUCUGUUCUUCUCUCUCUCUUCGGGUCGCUCUCUCUCUCUUUCUCUUCGGGUCUUCGGUUUUUUCUUCUUUUUUCUCUUCGGUUUUUCUUCUUUAUUUAUAGGGGCAGAACGAGUGGGGGACCAUGGUUAGUGCGCCUUCAAUCACGCAUGGCUGGUCGGUUCUUUCGGUGGUAGUGGUGGGGGCGAGGAGAGAGACGCGGGAGGUUUUUUUUUUCGUAUUCUGUUCUGCUAAAACGGGGGGAAGGAGGAAGAUGAACAGUGUCGUUCAAAACGACACCGUUUUGAUCUUCCUCCUUUUUUUUUUAUAUAUAUAUAUAUAUGAAACGGCGUUGUUUUGGGUAAAACGCGUCGUUUCAUUUAAAUGGCUAAACUUCAAAUCAGUCCUCCAAAUUCGGUCCCCGCCCCUCUUGUUGGCCGCCUUUUUCACUUUGGUCCUUGGUCUCUGAGUUAUGCAAUUGAGCCCCUAAUUGAUCAAUAAACUUCCAAUUUCUUCAAUUAAGCCCCUGAAACAAUUCCAAACAGCCCCCUCUAUCUUUGCGCCUUCUCCAAAUUGGUCCCUGGUUUCGGAUUUUCACAAUUAAGUCCCUAAUUGGCCCUUAAACUUCAAUAUUUAUGCAAUUGAGCCCCUGAUUUGACCCAAUAAAUUCCUAAAAAAUAUAUUUUGGCCCCAGAACUUAAAUUUCUCCAAAUUAAAUCCCAAAUUGACUUAAAAAUCAAUUUUUCUUGAAAUCAAAUCUUCUAUAAAUUCAAAUAAAAAUCCAAUUAAGUCCAUAAACAUCCAAAUUUGGGCUUUUCUCCUCAAAAUUCCAAUUUUCCUUCUCAAUAGGGCUUUCAUCCUUCAAGAAUAUACUGUCAAAAAUUCAAUCCUUGUAUUUUUAAAUUCCUUGACCAAUUUUCUGACUGUUUUCCGAGCGCUUCUGCCUCCUGUUAUUUUUCUAACCUCUUUUGGCUAUUUAUUUUAUUUUUCAUGGGGACCCAAAAAUGGGUUACAACACCAAGCAUGUUAUAUUUUCACAUGUCACGUUGAAGUUAUUGUAUGAAAGGUCCCUGCAAGUUAACAAUUCAUAAAAUCGAUUUGAAAUUGAUCUUUAUGAAUUGGCAAUUUAACAAUUCAUAAAUUACACUAAAUUGUCAUUAAUUAAUUAAAAUGAUUGGUCUUUUUGAUAAAAUUCUCUUAAUCUUUCUCAUCUCCCAGAGUUGACUAAAUAUAUUGAAAUUGCAAGUGCACUUUUUACAAAAGCAGUGUUUUUUUUAUGAGUCUUUCACCUCCUCUUACAUGCUUUUCCAAAACUCUUUUUCUCCAAAAUAUCUUUUUAUAAUAUGUCAUUUUAUUAAAAGAAAAAAUAAAACAACUAUUAUCAUGACUAGAUUCCAUAAAUUACUAAAUAAACAAAUAUUGAAUCUGAAGUAAAAACACAUCUUUUAAAAUUGAUGGUGAAGUCUUUGUUCGUGUUCAGCAUCAAUUUUUUGCCUCGUCAAGCAGAGAAAGAUUAAUAAAGCUAAAGCAUAUCAGUACGAAAACCGCAAGUUGAUCAUAGAUAUCUCUACAUUUCUUGGGUCCAAUAUGUGAACCUUGAGAAGUAAUAAAGACUUGACAUGGUUUUCUAUAAUAGGUUAAGCCUCUUAAUUAUUUUUAAUUUUUUCUAUGCUCAUCCAACGGCUCUGCUAAAUUGCUUGAUACAUCAUAAAAUAACUUGAUUUUGUAAUGUAUAUGAUUGAACCCAUGCAAUCUGAACAUUGAAAAGUAAAAAAGAAUCUUUAAAAUUUGGUCAAGUCUUUGUUCGUGUUCAGCAUAAUAUUGGACCCACGGAAUGUGAUCCUUGAGAAGUAAUAAAGGUCAAAAUAAAUAAAUAAAUAAAGACUUGACAUGGUUUGCUGUCUUUUCUAUGCCCCGCUAACGGCUCUGCUAAAUGAAUUGAUUUUUUGACGUUAUCAGAAAAAUAAUAAUCAACAUGAUCGAACCCAUGGAAUCUGAACAUUGAGAAGUAAGAAAUAAUGCAUCUUUAAUAUUUAUGGUCAAGUCUUUGUUCAUGUAAUUCAGCAUCUUUUGUUUUCCAUAUUAUGUGGAUCAAAAUUGCAUUGUCAAGCAGAGAACAAAUAAUAAAGCUAAAGCACCACCACAAGUUGAUAGAUUACUUUUUUUUAUAGGUACUCUACCAAGGUAUUGUUUAAACUAUAUUUUAUUUCAAAAUAAAUAAAGUAUAUAGCCUUCUGCGCUUGUAAUUGCUAAACCAUUUUGUAUUCAGAAUAUAUUAUUUAGGCUAUUCUCCCAUGAAAAGUCUUGGCUGUGAUAUUUGUCGAUACACGACGGGCGACGGCUCCAUAUCAUUUUUAUUUAUUUAACAAAAAAGAUUUUUUAUUUUUAUUGGGGAAAUGAAAAUUAUAUUGGAGUCGUUAUCUAGUAAUUUGAGGGAACUAGAAAUCCCAAAUUAAACACUGGUUUCAGAGAUUCAGGUACUGGGUUAGUUAUGAUUAAGGGAAGGUAGACACCACCCUUAAAACAUCCUUUCAAAAGAAAGGUUACCCUUACUUGUGUGUUUUUUAUUUGAUUUAAAUGCUAUUAUAUUUCGAGUUUAUUUGCAAUUUCGUUUUUUUUAAAAUAGUUAACGUCGGUCCCUAAAAAUAGGAGACGCGUUAAAAAUGACAUCAGUCCCUAAAAAUAGCAGACUCGUCUAAAAUAUUGACGUUUAACCCUAAAAAGGAGAAGUACGUCUGAGUUACCAAAAAAAACUAUGGACAUAAUCCAUAUUGGUAUUUAAACUUUUAACAUCGGUCCUUUUCUGAAAAAGAGACGUGUCGACGAACAGUAUUUGUUUAUAAAAUUAUUUUUAUAUCGUUGAGAAAUGGGUAUCCCAUAUUUGAGAUUUGGGCUUUGGGCCCACGAACGAUAACAUGAUAGGAUGAGUGUUGGACCCGCGUUGUUAUUCCUUUCUUUUUUAUUUUAUUUUUUGUUUGUUUUACAACAUACAAGAAAAUUUAUAUACAAAAUAAAAAAAUGUUAGAAAUCUAUAAAAAAAAAAAAAACAAAUUACCUAAGUGACACAGUAUAGGUAAAAGACUGAAAUACCCUCGGAUCUAUCAGAAAUUUACGAAAAUGCCACUAUGCGGCGCGUGUGGCUCACGCGCGGCUACUGUUGGUGCGGCGAGAUUUUCAGGCGCGAUUUCUGGCCCACCGAUGGUUAGUUCUGGUAGAUCUGAGGUCGAGGAUUCUGUUGUUGGUGGUCUCGACGUCCGUUGAUGGCUUACGAAUGAGAAUCGACGACUUGAAGGUUCGGUGGCCGACGAAGAUCGCGGCCUUUUUCCGGCCAGAUGAGGCGGCGGAAACAAUGAAAACCGCCGGGGUUUUUCUUCACAACAGGGUAGCUACCUUUCUGUGGUGGUUCGGAGGCUUGAGAUGGCCGGAAAGUGGAGAUCGGAUGAGAGAGGGAGUCGCCGGCGAGAGGAGAGAGAGGCUCUGAGAGUUGCUAUGGUGUGAACGCGUAUACGGUGUACCGGUGCCUCUGAACACUGUGCACCGUUCUAUCUCGGAUGAAACGAUCGGAUGGCUGUGAUUGGCUAGAUCUGCGGUUGAUCUGACGGUCUGGAUGAACUUAGCUUUGAUCUGGUGUGUUGCGGUGCACCGAAAGAUCGGUACACCUGAGACGUGGCGUAACCGGUUCAAAUCUUGAAUUGUUUCAAAGGCCGAGAUGUGUCGGGAUAUAUUUGGUAUUUUUCAAAUUGUUUUUUUUAAAAGACAAUAUCCUACUCUCCGGAAGAAAAACUACAAAAAAUGUUAAUGGUAUCAAUCGAUUUUUUUUUUCUUCCUCCCCUCACUCCUUCCGUGCUCACGUGGCUAUUUAUAGGUAAUUUUUUUUGUAUUAUUGUUUUUUUUGUUUUAAUAUAUAUAAUAAUAAAUAUUUAUAUAGGUAAAAUUAAAAAUUUCAACCGCUAACACUAAAAACAUUUGAUAGGUAUCAACCCGAUAAACCGGGUUUUAACCGAAAAAUGAUGGUUUUGACCCAAAAAUAGCCCGACACUCAUUUUUCAUCCCGGUCGACAUGGUUUGACCCGUAUUGACCUGGUGAACUCGGUUUGGGUCGAAAAUGACGUUUUUGACCCGAAACAGCCCGAAACUCAUUUUUAAACCUGGUCGACAUGGUUCGACCCGUAUUGACCCGGUGAACUCGGUUGUGGUUGAAAAUGACGUUUUUUACCCGAAACAGCCCGGAACUCAUUUUUAAACCUGGUCGACAUGGUUCGACCCGUAUUGACCCGGUGAACUCGGUUGUGGUUGAAAAUGACGUUUUUUACCCGAAACAGCUCGGAACUCAUUUUUGAACCUGGUCGACAUGGUUUAACCCGUAUUGACCCGGUGAACUCGGUUGUGGUCGAAAAUGAUGUUUUUGACCCGAAACGGCCCGGAACUCAUUUUUAAAACUGGUCAACAUGGUUUGAAUGAAAAGAUGCGGUUGACUCGAGAAAAAAAAUAUUUUUGAAUUUUCAAAUUUUUGUUAAUUUUUUUGGAUUUUUAUAAAUAAUAAUAAAAAUAAAAUAAUAUUCAAAAAAAUUGUGUGUCGAAAAUUGGGUUACAACAAUAUUCAUACACCAAUUGCUGGCUCUAUUUCAUACACCAUGGAAGACUUGGUUGAUAUGGUCGAUGAAGUGGACACCUAUGGUGAUGGGGAAGAAGACGUUGCGGAUGGAGACAAUUAUCAUGUAUUGAUAUUCAAAUACUCGAAAAACAAUUUAGGUGGUGUGCUGCCUCAAUCAGAAGAUUUGAAUAACUUUCAUAAUAAUUUUUUCAUAUCAUGAAUUAAUUAUUUGAAUUUGAUUAGUUACUAAGUGGUGCAUAAAUAAUGUUUUUAAAAUGCUAAAAUCAUAUUUAGAUUAGUCCAACGAUUUAGAAAGGUUUAUUCACCUUAAUUUACAUUAAAUUUAUCUUCAUUUUUAUUAUUAUUUUAAAGUAUUAUAAGUUCUAUCAAUUUUAAUUCACAUCGAGAAAAUAUAAUUUUUAAUUAAAACAAGAUUCUAAUAAUAUUUUAUUAAUUAAACAUGAUUUGUUUUUAUAUAUUAAUUUUCGAUACUUAACCUUUAGGCUAUGCAUGUUUGUAUAACAUCAUAAUUUAAAUAAUCUUUAAAAAUUAAAUAAGUGAAUAAGCUUUCAUGCAUGCGCGCGCGCGCAUAUGCUUCCUCACCACCACUAUUUACAAACAAGGAAUUAUCUGCAAGAAAACUUAUUCUCAGUGCAAACAUGAUUAUUUACCAUAAGAAACUCAGCCAGUAUAAUUAAUUAGAAGAGAGAAAUUCCCCAUCUAAUAAAAACAUUUUUAUUAACUGAAAAUUCGAAUUAUUUGAUAAUUUAAACCAUUUUUCGAGUUAGUUUCCGAUUUCGAAUCGAUAACUACAAUCAUUCUACACCUAUACACUCUCGGAAAAAGAUCAUGAUAUUCAUUUUUCUCAAAGGGUGUUGGUCCACCCAUGUUCACCCUAUGAACAGUCUCCCCACUGCAUUAAAAGUUUCAGCAUCAUCUGUAAUGAGCUCAUCGGGAACUGAAACGACUUCCAAAGGCAUUUAAGAGGCAAAUGAAUUGCCUUCACACUGAAAUUGCUGAGGAAACACCAAAACUCGCUUUGCUCAUGUUGUGACAACCACUAACAAAUGGAUAGAAAUAUAGACGAAUCCAAUGCCUCCAUGUUGGUUAAUGAAAAAGGUGUACUUUGAGGUUCCAUCAAAGAUUCUUGCUGUUUGAUAGAGCGGUGAAUCAUCCCCAGAAGUGACAGAUAUUGAAGCAUUUGCAAAAGUGUUUUUCGGGGUUGAAAGAAAGUUGGAGGCAGAGUUAUCAGCAACAAAAACACGGUUACCUACUGUAGUAUUGCUGAGUGAUCCGCAGUCUAUAAGAUAAUUGUCUAUAUUGUAACUUAUUUUUGGAUCCCACACAAAAAAAAUAUAUAUAAUAAAAAGAUAAAAUAAUAAUAAAUAAAUAUAUAGCCGGAAGAAAUUAGAAAAACUAACAGGUGGCGGGAGCGCUCAGAAAAUUAUCAGAAAAAUAGAUUAAGGAGGAUAAAAAUACAAAGAUUAAAAUUUUGACAGUAUAUCUUUGAAUGAUGAGAGCCAUGUUGGAAAAUAAAAUUCAAUUUGAAAAGAAAAGUCCAAAAUUGGAUGUUUAUGGACUCAAUUGGAUUUUAUUGAAGGUUUAAUUGAAUUUAUAAAGGGUUUAAUUGCAAGAUAAAUUUAUUUUUAAGUCAAUUUGGGCUUUAAUUGGUCGAAGAAAUUAAAGUUCUGGGGUCAAAUUAUAAUUUUUGAGAGUUGAUUUGGUCAAAUCAGGGGCUUAAUUGCAUAAAUAUUAAAGUUUAAUGGCCACUUAGGGAUUUAAUUGAGAAAAUCCAAAACCAAGGACCAAAUUGGAAAAGGCGCGUAAAUAUAGGGGCUGUAAUCAACGAAAUCAGGGGUCAAAUUGAAGAAAUUGGAAGGUUAUUAAUCAAUUGAGGGUCCAAAUGCACAAAUUCAAAACCAAAGACUAAAGUGAAAAAGACGGACAACUAUAGGGGCGGCGAUUGAAAUUGGCAGGGAUGCAAUUGAAUUAAUUCUUAAAAAUCAAGAUUACAUUGUGAGGACUUAAAAGAACAAAAGAUAAAUUAAGGAUUGAUUUGGAAACGAAUAUGCUAGCACCACCUUUAAAUGAAAUGACACGUUUUGUAUAAAGCGACGUCGUUUCAUGUUAAGAAAAAAAAAACAAAGAGCAAAACGGUGUCGUUUUGAGUGACACCGUUCCUCUUUCUCUUUCCCCUGGACGUGCAGCAAGGGAAGGCAUACGAUUUUCUUCUUCUUUCUUCAUUGAUUCCUGCGAGCCGCGUGCCCUACGAAAGACCCGAAGCCCCACGCACAUUGAUGAUUAGAAAUCAAAGGCGCCACGCCUUGCCAGCCGUGCCCACCAACCAACCCAGCGCUGCCCUGCUCCCCAUGCACAGCAAUAAAGAGGCCCCGCUCCCUUGCCCCUACAAAUGGAGACAGAACGCCAGCACGCGAGGGGGACAAAAAAAAGAGAAGGAGGACGAACCGAAAAAGAAAGAAAACGAACCAAAGCAGGAGAAACAAAACGGAGAGAACGAAUAGGAGAGAGAGAGAGAGAGAGAACGAACCAACGAAAGGGAAAAACAAAUCGAAAGUUUUUAAAAAUUCUAAAAAAUAUUUUUGUCUUCUUUUAGUAUAUGGGAUUAUGAAUUUAUACGUAAAACAUAUUCCUGAUAUUAAAAAUAUAGUUUUCAAAUAGACGUUAGAACAAUUAGGUUUUUACCCAAUACGAUAAGGACCUCCUUACUAAGGAGAAUUUUUCUUGAACCAUAGACAGACCAACAAUUAAAAAUAUAAUAACACCUUAGCUUUUUAUCAGACAAUUAAACAAUACAGCUUACCUUAGGUAAGACGUAUUUGGGGUACUAAUACCUUCCCUUUAUGCAAUCAGUCCCCGUAUCUGAUCUCUGAGACCAGUUAGGGUUACUAGUAACCAAAAUAUUAGGUGGUGACUCACAUUUCAUUUUCCACCGAUAAACGACAAGAGUUUCUUAUCUUCCUAUAUUUGCCAUAUAGAUAGAUAUUAUAUUUAGAUUUGAAGUGGAAUAAUUUUUACCGCGACGCCGCACACGUGCGACAGUCUACAUGAGUGAAUCCACUAGAUAAACAUACCAAACUUAAUCAUGAAAAAAAUAUAUUUUAAUCAUCUAAUCAAAUAUAUUUUUUUAUAGUUUAUUUUAUUCUAUUUUUUUUAUGUUUCUUGUUAUAUGAUUAUAUAAAUCUUGCUUGAGUUGAGUAUAACAUAUAUUUCAAAUUAUUAAAUAAUAAUAUCCUUUUCUAUUAUAAAUUUCGUUAAUUAGCAUUUAAUGUUCGCAGAACAUAUUUGGUUUGAUAAUAACAAAAAAAAGAAAGAUUUAUUCAUCCACUUACUUUAUUCAAAAGAAACUUAGCUUCUUGGUUUUGAUCCGUAUUUAACAGUUUUUUAAUUUUAUUAAAAUUGUUUUUUCUAAUAUAUAAAUAGCAUAUAAUAGUUGUGAUACUUUUUAUUGGAAAAAUAUUGAGUAAUAAAAAUUAGAAUUAAAAUUAAUUGAAACUUUUUGUGCAAAAUACUGUAUUUCAGUGUGUUGUCUUUCUUGUUUCUUGUUUCCGCCUGCAUCAUGAACCUUUCAAAUAAUUCAUAAAUUCAAUCAAGAAUUCCCUGUCUGCAUUUUGCUGCAGUCAGCUGUGGUCACUUUUUGCCAAUUCUGGCUGCAGAGAACUUUGCAGCUACGACGAAAGAUGCAAAAUUCUUUUUGGAAUUCAGUUCUGUUUAGAGAAGAAUCAAGCUAAUAGGUUCAGGUACACUGGGAGAGACAGAAAGCAGCAGCUAUGGUUCAACAAGGCAUGAUCCUUGCUCAAUGAGAAGUGUAGAAAAACUGGUAUAUAAACCACACAAUCUGUGUAACAUGGUGGUCUGCAUGAUCAACAAUGGUAGUUGUCUUCUCAAUUAGAGUAUACAUAUAAGUAGGCAUUGUUUAAAAACCACAACAAAUUGGAAGACUCAUUAUUGAUGCUGCCACUCUCUCAGUUAAAGAUGUUUCUUUAAGCCUUAACGACGAUAUCGACUGAGCUCAUCUGAUUGCUAUAAGAACAAAGGAUAUUGAAUUGUCUCAUUCUGAUUGCUGCAAAACCUCAACAAAUGCUUCCUUCAAAAGCGGGUUUGAAGCUGCGACUCUUUGAGUAGUGAUGUCAAAAUCUUUACCAGAUCUGUAGCCGAAAGAGCAACCAUCAAAAUAUCAGAACACGCAUUAUAUUCUGGACAAAAUGUGAGCAUAUGCUUAUGUUCUUAAUAUCUUUGACCUAUUGCUUGCCCGGAUGACAGAGUUGAGGAUGUCACAAGACGACGAUUAAAUCAUGUUGACAUUCGAUAAACACUGUUCUUUCAUGUCCAUGCAUGGGACUAUCCUCUCUAUAUCCCACACUACCCCCACCUAAGUUGUGGAAGGGAUGAAAUAUAAAUAGCAUCACUUACGGGUCAUAAACGAUUCCUCCAGCUUCUUUGACAAUCACAGCACCACCUGCCACAUCCCUGAGUUCAAGAGUAGAUUAUAUCAAUCAUGCGUCCAGAUGAACUUUUCUUGCGUCAAUCACAAAUACGUACCACGGGCCUCCAUAUCCGGUUUCAUAAAACAAAUCAAUCCUUCCACAUGCAACUCCGCAAAGAUUCAAUGCACAGGAGCCAGUCAUCCUAAGGGAUCUCACCUGAUAACAAGAUAAUCAGAUAUGAAUUUUAAGAAAACCAACACAUUUUACCAAAGCACAUAGCUUCCACAGCAUGUUCUGGUCUCACCUUGAAAAGUAAGCUGUUAAUUCUGUUCGUUGUGGCAUCCACAGUAGACUUGUCACGUUUUGUUCCAGCCUGCUCUUAGAAGAAUUUAGUUUGGUCAGUUCCUAACAUGAUUCCUUAUGAAACAUAAAGGAGUGGACUUGAAGUAGAAAGGAGUUUUAACCAGAUUCCACACAGAGCAUAACAGGGGUGAACUUAAAGCACUCCUUUUGCAGGGUAUUUGCAAGUGCAACAUGGUAAAAACUAAAUACAUUCACAACGCAUAGAUCUGCAUUUCAAAUACAGGGAGUUGGAUUUCUAGAGUCUACGAACAAUAUUUUAAUAUAAACGAGAAGGGUUAGCAUGCCAGAAAAAUCAAUCCAGGGUUAAAACAAGCUACCCUUACUCAGCACUUAACAUUUCUGACACUAUCUGGAGUUAAGACUGAAAUUGAUUGUGCCCAAGGCAAUUUUAACACCCUUCAAACCGAUCCAAUAAGAAACCAAUUGGAGAUGUACAGUUAGAAGGAUAGAAUUGUACCAAAAAAAUAUGAGACAGUAGGGCACCAAUUCAUCUCAGGUUUCAAAACUGAUUCCCGGUUAUAUUUCAGUUUAAGCUAUCUAAACUGAAAAGCAUCUCAGUUUGCAAGUUUGGGCAGACAAAAAUGAUGCUGAAAAGCAUACCUCUGUUGCAAGAAGAGAUUUCACAAGCUCACUUUGAGAUGAUACUGCAAUCGAAACACAAGUACAUAGCUGCUUAAGUUUCAUGGAAAGAUUAGCAUGCAAAAGUAUCAAAAUAUGGAAACUGACAAUAGUCAACUCAGAGACACCUUUUAUGGGUUUUCCAUUCAGAAAUGCACCUUUUCCAUGGACGCCUGUAAAAAGCUGCAUUUAUAAAUCCAAAAUCUUUUAGCAAAUUACUGGAUCACAUUUCAAAUUCUAUAAAAUUUUGACAGAACAUUAACUUCGAUGUUAAAUGGGACACUAUACGACCACAUAUCUGAAGUGAAAGCAAGAAGUGUUCAAGAAGGCAGACAAAAGUUUGAUGGACUAACUGUUUAGAUAUAGCUAGAUACUCGUUUUCCCGAUAUUUAAAUACUGGCAGACUCAACAUCAUAAAGCAGACAUUUAUCUGAGUAGAGGACCAUGAAGCUGAAAACUAGUGGUCACUGGUCAGUGUUCAUUUUGUGAGGAAAGAUGCACUAACAUCCAGCAUACAUGUAGAAGAUCACCAGGCUAUAUGAAAGGAGGUAAACUGUGCAUGUUCUACAUAAAAUUUUAAUCAUUUAAAGUUCAAAGUAAUAUCUGGCCACCUAAAACUAACAUGCAAUAUAUAAAAUCUCACCUCUUCCAUUAUUGGGUUGUAAACAACACCUACUGUAGGAACUUUUCCAAUUGUAAGACCGAUAGAAAUGCACACAAAGGGGAACCUACAUCCAAACAUGUUGCGACAAAUUAAAGUGAUGUUACAUGUAUAAAAACAAGAGGAAAUUGCCUUCACUAAACAAUGUUAAAAAAAAAAAAUAUUGCAUUUACCCAUGGACAAAGUUGGUUGUUCCAUCAAGAGGAUCAACUAUCCAUGUCGGUUCAUCAGUCAGUUCCGUAAUACCACAGGCAGCAGUAGUUUCUUCCCCAAUGAACUAAGAAAACCAGCAAAAGAGAACUUUCAAGAGAAAAACAGAGGCACUUUUUAGGAGACAAUAUUCCCCGUACAGAUCAAUAAUGCUCAAAUUCAUCACCUACAAAGUAGAAAAUACUAAAGUAAGUUGUUAACCUUAUGUGAGGGGUGCUGCAGUUUGAGAUAAUUAAAAAUAAGAUCCUCACAAGCCUUGUCAGUCUCAGUAACUAAAUCCACUUGCAAUUGAGAAAUAAAAUAAACAAUUGUCAGUAAUUACACGCAUAUAGUGAAGUAUGUUUAGCCACAGCACUUUUAUCCGGGCUAAAUUAACACAAAUGGGUUGGCAACUUCUAAUUUUUUAAUUUUCUUCUCUGCUCCACAGUUAUGAUGAUACAGUCCAAUUAACAAAGGAAAUAUGCUAGCAUUACAAAAUAGCAAAAGCACUUUCAAUUUUUUUACAAACUCGAUGACCUCAGCCUCAGCGUGAAGAUAAAAACUUUGUUUCCCAGCAGCUUUACAAACAAGGAUUUUAGCACCUCAUGCACGAUGAAUUCAAUUACCGUUAGCUUUACAGACGUUGAUGCUAAAUUCAAUUCCCAGUUUUGUUACAAAACAAGAUCACCUCAAUGCCAAGAUUAAAACUUUAUUUCCAUUAGCUUUACAAACUGGGAUCUUAAAGUUCCCCCUUGCAUUAUAAAUUCAAUUUGCAAUCAGAUAUAAUCAAUCACUGAUCUGAAUUCAAGAUUAUUUAGCAGCAUUUGAUCAACAAUUCUCCUUUCUUUAGGGGAAAAAAAUUGCUAAGCACUACACAGACUCUACAUUCAAGAUCACAUGAAGCAACAAGAAUGUCCAAGAUAAGACUACCCUGAUUAACGACCAACAAGAAAAAGAGAUACAAAAAGAACCCAAGAAAAGCAAAGAUGUGGGUACCAGUCCUUUAUGCUCCACAUGCUUGGUCUGGUAGAAUCCUUCACGGAUUAUCUACAAAGCACACAAGAAAUGGAAAAUGAGACUAAAUUUGAGACCCCUAAAAAAGGAAAAACAAAAUCUAAAAUUUAUAUCUCACCUCUCCAGCUCUCUUUGCUGCCUCAACAGCAGUCUGCAAGAACUCUGAAAGAGAAUCUAAAACAUCCCAAAUAAAAAACAAAAUGCAAAAAUCAUCAAGAUCCCAUACUGAAAAUGAACCAAGAAAUCAAAAACAAAACAAGAAAGAAUGCAAUAAAAAAACUUGACGGGGUCCUACCAUUCUGUGCCAUGUUUUAAAAUUUGUAUGUAGAAAGAAGAGAGUGACAGAGUGAAGUAGAUUGUGGUGGAGGUGAUGGUGAUGAAAGGCUCUGUGUCUCUGAGUUUUUUUACGUCUAAAAGGAAGUAGCAGGCAAACCACAAAAUGGACCGUUUGAUUUCUGUUUUUCUCUCUCUUUAUACAUAUAUAUGCUAAAGAAUCUGCCUUUUCACCCAGUCUGUGUACGUUUUGCAUCAAAUUCCUGGUGAAAAAGGAAGUCCUUUAAUGGUGCCUUUUGAGUCCUUUUAACCCUUUUUUAUGGCUACUCUUCCCCUACGUCAUAUUGUUACUCUUGAGUUUUCCUAAGAAAUUAAGAAAAUAUUAACAUGAGAAAAUAUUAACAUCCAAAUGAUGGGGAAAGAGAUUUGUUCAAUUUUGAAUGAUGGAGGGCAUCAUUGGUGAGCCUAGGAAGAUAGGGACCAAAUUGAAACCUCCCUAAUAACUGGGGGUAUAGUUGUAGUACAUAUGGAGAGGGAGACCUAAAUGGCUUCAAGUAGGUUACCAUGGGGAAUGAACAUACGGUGUGUUGUAACCCAAUUUUGGAUUCAUCAAGUUUUUCUUAAAUAUUAUUUUAUUUCUAUUAUUAUUUAUAAAAAUCCAAAAAAAUAAAAAAGGUUUAAAAUUCAAAAAAAUAUUUUUUUCUCGAGUCAACCGUAUCUUUCCAUCAAAACCGAGUUCACCGGGUCGAUACGGGUCAAACCAUGUCGACCAGGGUAAAAAAUGAGUUUUCGGGCUGUUUCGGGUCAAAACCAUCAUUUUCGGCCAAGACCGAGUUCACUGGGUCGAUACGGGUCUAACCAUGUCGACCGGGAUAAAAAAUGAGUUUCAGGUCAUUUUGGGUCAAAACUGUUAUUUUGUGGUCAAAACCCGGUUCACGGGUUGAUACCCAUUGAAAGUUUUUUUUUUAAUGUUUCGACAUAAUUUUCGGUAAUUAAAAUUGAUUUUUAGCGGUUGAGUCGGGCUUUUUCUAAUACUGAUUUGAGUUUUUAAUUUUAUCUAUAAAUAUUUAUUAUUAUAUAUAAUAAAACAAAAAACUUUUUUGUCAUAUUAGGUAAUGUUAGGUAGAGUACUUUUUCUUUUUUUCUUACAAUUAGGCAAAUUUAGGCAGAAAUCAAUUAUUAUAUUACUGUUCACUGCCUAUAAAUAGGCAGUGAGCAUCGCCAGAAAAAAAAAAAAAAAAAAAAAGAAAAAAAGGAGGGAACGGGAAAACAAAGCCAGAGAAGAAGAGAAAGAAUGGUUACUGUGCAUAUUUUUUGAGUUUUUCUUCGCAGGAGUAGGAUAUUGUUUUCUUAAAAAAACAAUUUAAAAAAUACCAAAUAUAUCCCAACUCAUCUCAGCCAUUGAAAUAAUCCAAGACUUAAUCCCGUUAAGCCACGUCAUCCGGUGUACCGAGAUUUCGGUACACCGCGUCACACCGGAUCUAAACCCAGACUCAUCCAGACCGUGCGAUCGACCUCAGAUCUAGCCAAUCACAGCCAUCCGAUCAUUCCAUCAGAGAUCCAACGGCGCACAGUGUUCGGUGGUACCGGUAUACCAUGCACGCGUUCACACCGUAGCCUAAUCUCGGACUCUCUCUCUCCUCUCGCCGGCGACGUCCUCUCUCUCAUCCGAUCUCCACUUUCCGGCCGCCUCCAGCCUCCGAACCACCGCAGAAAGGUUGAUCCACUGGUGUAAAGCAAAACCCCGGCGUUUGUAACCGUUUUCACCGCCUCAUCUGGCCGGAAAAAGGCCGCGAUCCUCGCCGGCCACCGAAGCUUCAAGUCGCUGAUUCUCCCUCGUCAGCCAUCAACGGACGUCGAGACCACCACCAUCAGAAUCCUCUCCCUCAGAUCUACCAGGAUCGACGGUUCGUUUCCCAGAAAUCUCGCCGGAAAACUUCGCCAGUGCCAACAGUAGCCGCGCGUGAGCCACACGCGCCGCCAGUGGCAUUUUCGUAAAUUCCUGAAAAAUCCGAGGGUAUUUCAGUCUUUUACAUAUACAGGGGUACUCAGGUAGUUUUUGUUGAAUUCCUAACAUUUUAUUUUAUGUAAAUAUUUGUAAAUUUUUAUUGCAUGUUGUAAAAUAAAAUAAAAAAAACAAAAAAACAAGUAUAAAAAGAAUAACGACGUGGGUCCAACGCCCAUCCCAUCAUGUUAUUGUUUGUGGGUCCAAAGCCCAAUUUUCAAAUAUAGUUAUACCCAUAUCUCAAUAAUAUCAAAAUAUUUGUUUUUAUAAACAAAUAUUGUUUGUGGACACGUCUCUUUUUAUAGAAAAGGACCGAUGUCAAAUAAAAACUUUAAAAACCAAACAAAUAUGGAUUAUGUCCAUAAUUUUGUUUUUUUGGUAACUCGGACGUAAAUCUCCUUUUUAGGGUUAAACGUCGAUAUCUUAGACGAGUCUCCUAUUUUUAGGGACUGAUGUCAUUUUUAACGUGUCUCCUAAUUUAGGGACCGACGUUAACUAUUUUAUAAACAAAACAAAAAUUACAAAUAAGCUCAAAAUAUAAUAGCAUUUGAAUCAAAUAUAAAAACACACAAGUAAGGGUAACCUUUCUUUUGAAAGGAUGUUUUAAGGGUGGUGUCUACCUUCCCUUAAUCAUAACUAACCCAGUACCUGAAUCUCUGGGACCAGUGUCUAAUUUGGGAUUUCUAGUUCCCUCAAAUUACUAGAUGGCGACUCCAAUAAAAUCUAUUUCCCCCAAUAAUAAAACAAUCUUUUUUUGUUAAAUAAACAAAAAGAGCGGAGCCGUCGCCCGACGUCGUGUAUCGACACGGUGAAGCUGAAUAAUGACGGCUUCCAAUAGAGGACAUGGUUCACAAAAACAUGGACAUGCUCUCUAACAGGGUUCCUAAAAGCCGAGUAUUGGAUUGAACUCGAUUCUUGUCUCUUUAUUUCUCUCUUCCUUUCAAUACAUGUAAUUUUACCACAGAUCGAUGGAUACUGAUAUUGUCAUCAGGUUUGGGCUAUGAGAGCUACAAUUUAUGUAAAAUGAUUACAAUAAACAACCAAGCUCUUUCAUGACUACUCUCUAGGCUCACAUAUCGUGUCAUCCCAACUGCAUUAGAACGAUCCAAUAAUAUAUCUCCCAACAGCUGUCACAAUUAAAGAAGCCUUUUUAAUAAAUAGUACAAUUAUCAAUGACAAUAACAAAGCACAUUUUAAUGAAAGCAUUUUCCUAGGUUCAGAUGCCUAGAGAAUUGCUUCAUUGAAUGUUCUAAUGAUAUAUGAGCGGGAUAUAAUUAAGUUUCCCUACCUUGACAGCUUGUCGUCUUGUAAUGUAAUUGGUGGAUUCUAGCAGCUUCGAAUUAAAUUCAGCAAAAAACUGAAGUCCAUACAAAGUUAGACAAUGUCAAGCUCUGACCAACAUUUAGCAAGCAUGGCCACAACAGGAAAUAAAGACACAUUUAGAAUGUUGCAAUUCAUGUUUUUGUCAUAGAUAUGUAGCUACCAACAUGCAGUUUAAAAAAGCAAAGAAGAAUGCUAUAAAAAUGAGGAGAUAAAGCUGCUCAAUUCAUCAGAGUCGAGUAAUAGAUUCUACUUUAUAUGCCCCAUCAUUGCAGAGCAACAAUAUUUUGAGAUUAAUGCAUUACCAGAAAAAUAAAUUUGCAAACCGUCUUUCUCUAAUCUCACCAAAGGUUUUCCGGCUAAGACUUUUGUUGGCCUUCAAAUUCUUUGAAAAAACUAUAGAGGAUCAGGCAUGCCCCAUUAUACAGUGUCAGUGCGUGCAUAACUGAGGCAAUAUCUGUAUCUAUAGGUAUAUAGGAUUUGAAUUUGGGUGUUCAAAAAAAACCAUUAGAGCUUAAAACCUUUACAUUGCUUUUAUAGGAUUUUGGUUUAGAUUCUGCUUUAUGUCUCCAUCAUUGCACAGUCACGAUAUCGUGUUAUUAAUGCAUCACCAGAUAAUUAAAUCUGCACAUCAUCUUUCUCUAGUCUCAGCCACAAGUUUUCUCACCAAAAUAUUCGUCUGCCUACAAAUUCUUUAGAAAGAGGAUUGGGCAUGCC
rnacentral:lncRNA from 1 species